rnacentral:lncRNA from 1 species
UUUUUUGAAUAGGUAGAGUUUUGUUCAAGGUUGCUUUUUUUUUCCUUUUGAUUCCAAUAGAGCACAUAACACAAACAUAACACAAUUUAUUAUUGUCUGAUUUGGUCAUUUUUGGUACAGCUCUAGACAGCAUUAGUUUAGUUAUCAUUUAAUAUAUUGCAAGUGAUGUUUGGAAAAUUCCACACCCCCAUUCUUAAGUUUCCAGUGGCAAUUUAUCUAAGAUGCUCUCUUCAUGCUUUUACAAUUGUGGACUGUAUCCACCAACUAAAUGAUUCAUGGUAUAUGAAUGUUUGUUCCAUUGCACAAAAUUCAUUUGUCUACAACAAGUGAGCAUCAUACAUAGCUAUCCCAAGUAAGUUUUUAAGUUUUUCUUACUGAGUUAGGAGUAUAGCAGGUUAGAAUAUUAUUAUAGUUCAAUGUUGUUUAUUCAUAAAUGUUCCAUCCUUUUAUAGUAUGCUAAGGGGUUUACAACUUCGUUAGAUCGAUGUCUUGAUAAAUCUUUUUUACAUUAGUUGUCUACACAACAUGACUCUUCAUAGUCUUACUCAACCCUUUGCCAGUUUAUAAUUUGUGUUGUGCUCUAUAGAUAUGCUCAACAAAAGAUACAAAUUUCCGCAGCAAUGCAUGGGAUAUCUACUAGUUUCAUAAUAUAAUACCAGCAUUUUUGACACUGUAGGUAGUACGUACUUCCAAUCCGUACUACUCACUCCGUUCGAUAAUGUAAGACGUUUUUUAACAUUAUAUUAGUGUCAAAAAAUGCUUUAUAUUAUGAGACGGAGGAAGUACUUCCUACCGAACGGAUCAUAUUAUUUUCUGUGAGUAUUGUAAAAUCCAAAUACAAUACGUCCACUCAGAAGCAACAACGGCUCGCCGGUUUGCCUGAAACGCUCGGCGUCAGUCACACGAAAAAAUUAGUAAAUCCAAAUGGCUCAUGCGAUGCAACCCAAAUGAAGACAGGGACUCGUCGAGCGCAAGACUACAAAGGAAGACGUUCCGCUCGCUCACUGACCAGCCCCACGCUUGGGCCACAUAUCUCCACGGCCGGAGCUGGAGCUGCAGCUCACCACACUCCCUCCUCCAUCCCCAGUCCACACCAAGGCGUGAGCGUGAGCUCGAAGCCAUGGCGGCCGUGGGGACGCCGCAGGAACCGUACGCGCCCAAGCCGGCGGCCGAGGGGAGGGGCUACUGGCGGUGGCACAGGGACGAUUUCUUCCCGGAGCCGUCGUUCGCGAGCUGGGGCGCGUACCGCUCCGCGCUGGCCGCGACCCCCGCGAGGCUCCGCGACCGCUUCACCGGCCGCUCCACCGACGCCAUCGAGCUCGGCGCGCUGCGGCGCCGCAGCGAGAACGAGAUGCGCCGCUGCCUCACGUGGUGGGACCUCACGUGGUUCGGCUUCGGCUCCGUCAUCGGCGCCGGGAUCUUCGUGCUCACCGGCCAGGAGGCGCACGACCACGCCGGCCCCGCCAUCGUGCUCUCCUACAUCGUCUCUGGCCUCUCCGCUAUGCUGUCCGUGUUCUGCUACACCGAGUUCGCCGUCGAGAUCCCCGUGGCCGGCGGCUCCUUCGCGUACCUCCGCGUCGAGCUCGGCGACGUCGCGGCCUUCAUCGCCGCCGCGAACCUUAUCCUCGAGAGCAUCAUCGGCACGGCCGCGGUGGCGCGCUCCUGGACGUCCUACUUCGCGUCGCUCAUCAACAAGCCGGCGAGCGCGCUGCGCAUACAGACCUCGCUCAAAGACGGGUACAACGAGCUUGACCCCAUCGCGGUCGUGGUGAUCGCGGUCACCGCCACCAUGGCCAUCCUGAGCGCCAAGGGCACUUCCCGGAUCAACUGGGUGGCGUCCGCGAUACACGUGGUCGUGAUAGCGUUCGUCAUCGUGGCAGGAUUCAUCCACGCCAACCCGAGCAACCUGACCCCGUUCAUGCCGCACGGCGUGCCGGGCGUGUUCCAGGCGGCGGCGAUCGUGUACUUCGCCUACGGCGGCUUCGACAACAUCGCGACGAUGGCGGAGGAGGUGAAGAACCCGUCGAGGGACAUACCGCUGGGGCUGCUGGGGUCCAUGUCGGUGAUCACGGUGAUCUACUGCGUGAUGGCGCUGGUGCUGAGCAUGAUGCAGCCGUACACGGCGAUCGACCGGAGCGCCGCCUACUCGGUGGCGUUCAGCAGCGUGGGGAUGCACUGGGCGCAGUACGUGGUGGCGCUGGGCGCGCUCAAGGGGAUGACGACGGUGAUGCUGGUGGGCGCGCUGGGGCAGGCGCGGUACACGACGCACAUCGCGCGGAGCCACAUCAUCCCGCCGGUGUUCGCGCUGGUGCACCCCAGGACCGGCACGCCGGUGAACGCCAACAUACUCAUCGCCGCCGCGGCCUGCUGCAUCGGCUUCUUCUCCAGCCUCGACGUGCUCUCCAGCCUGCUCUCCAUCAGCACGCUCUUCAUCUUCAUGAUGAUGGCCAUCGCGCUCCUGGUCCGGCGGUACUACGUGAAGGGCGUGACGACGCGGUCGCACGCGCUGCGGCUCCUGGUGUUCGUGCUGGUGAUCAUCGCCUCGUCGGCGGGCAUCGCGGCGUACUGGGGCACGACGCCCGGCCGGUGGGAGGGUUACGUCGCGCUGGUGCCGGCGUGGCUGCUGGGGACGCUCGGCAUCCAGAUGAUGGUGCCGGCGGCGCGCGCGCCCAAGGUGUGGGGGGUGCCGCUCGUGCCCUGGCUGCCCUCGCUCUCCAUCGCCACCAACCUGUUCCUCAUGGGCUCGCUCGGCUCGGAUGCCUUCGUCCGCUUCGGCGCCUGUACCGCCAUCAUGCUCAUCUACUACGUCCUCGUCGGCCUGCACGCCACCUACGACGUCGCCCACGAUGUGUGCAGCGAAGACGAGCUAAAAGACUACGGCGACGCCGCUGAUGAUGCUGCUGAUGAGAAGGCGACGGCGAAAACGGCCGACGUCGAGAGGGCUAGCGCGGGAGACGGCGGCCGCUAAAGAUGAUCCGGAGUCGGCCAGACGGUAGUCAGUAGUCGCUGCUUGACUAUACGCUGUCUGAAAACUUGUAAUUCGUACCAUCAAAUGAAUCUUUAUCUUCACACGAUUGUAAUCUACACAUUCGCAGUCUUGAUCUUUUGUUUUGUAAUGUACAUGUAUGCGUGCUGGUGACCAGUCAGUACACUUUGACAUCACUGUCUCAAAACUUGUUACUUAUGCUACAUAUAAGAAUUUUGUUACUACGUGCAAUAUAUGGAUAAUCCUACACCUACAAAGUGACUACGAAGGCCUAUCUAAAUUUCCAAACUAUAAACCUCUCGGCUCCCUUGAUUUUAAUGAGGGUGGGCACCCCCUAUCGAUUCAAUAAAGAUUUUACACAGGUCUAGCAUUGUCUGCAAUAUAUUUAGAAAGAGAAUGGUUUUUAAUAACUCACGACCUCAGAAGCCAUGGGUGUCUGUUGUCUACUCCCCUGGUAUACUCCCAUCUCGUGCUCCUCUUGACUUCAAGGGCCGAGACAAAUUUACGGGUGGCCCCGUCCACACCGACCCUUUCUUUUCGUCUCUCUUUUCACAACUCCCACUUAAUCAAUAGGAGCAUGGUGUCUAUUUAUACUCCAAUGAAGUCCAAUACCUAAUGCCAAAUAAUUUAAUCUUAGCCAUUGGACGAGAGGGGAGCAUGGAUGAGAGUAUUCCGGAAGAGCAGGCAAGCCACAUCCAGGUGAAACCGGGCCUGGAGCUACAACUUAGGGGUUUCCAAUGUCUAAGAACAAGGAUCACAACAACAUCUCAAACAAAUUAUCUUAACAUGUACAAGAGAGAAUAUUAGGGGGGUCGUUUCACCUCUCUAGUAGUUUUGUCAAAACUCAUACCCAAUAUCUCAUUUUUGCCUAUAUCUCUUCCUACACACUUUGAAUAAACUUUACAUUUCAUAACAAGAUAAUCAAACAUGUAUGAUCAUAUCACACACAAUUUUAACACCUUUCAAAUUCACAAAUUAGGAAAGCAAAUUCAAAAUCAAACAUAACGGCUUGAGCAUAGUUCACUCAUCAUGCACUGUCAUUGCCACUCAUGUCACUUGAGCCACCAUUCCACUAAAAGCUCCCAUGGACACCCCUCCCUUCCCGGUACCAGCCUAUUCUCCUAGACACAAGACUUGCUCAUUCGUAGCCUUAGAAUAGGCUCUUCCCAUAUGAAGGCCAUUUGGAUUCAUGAAUAUGAGCUUUCACUCUUGCUUGUUCCUCAACAUUCUCUACUCAAUUGCAGUCCAAUGCUCCGCCAUGGCCACCCUUCACUCCUUAGAGGCAAACCGACACUCCUGUAAUUCCUUGAGCUUGUUACAUCUUGUUCCAUCUUGUGAUUUCUCUUCUUUCUUCUCCACAACACACUCCAUUCGUUUGCCACCAUGCUGGGAGAGUUGGAGUUGUCCGACUCGCCUUUUUGUGGCAAGCGCUUCAUUAUUCCUUGUUUUUAUUUAAGAUCUGUGAGCUUGAUGAGACUUCAUUCAGUAACAGAGCACGCUUCUUUGACUUGGUAGGUGAAGAUUUGAACACAAGCUUAGUGAGGUGCUCAACUGUGCGGUCGUCGAGUGUGUGAGCCAGCAUAUGCGACAGCUUGGUAGGCUCAAUGUCCAGGGACGAUGUGGUGAACUUCACCAGUGCGUCAGGGUCCGGGCGCCAUGAGUCAAGCGUCGCUUUCUCAUAGGCAUCAUGGCCAGUGCCGCCGAUAACAUGACCAGACUGUUGCACCAUCUUCAUGGCUAGCCAUAAGUCCACAUUGGCCAUGAGAAGGUGCCAAAGAGCACCAUGCUCCGUGAGAGAGCUGAAGCAAGCACACAGGAAGGCGACCAUGCCAUAGAGGGAGCAGCACUCAAUGCACGUAAGGGUCCUAGUGCAUAACUGCAUACCAUGUCCACCUGAAAGUCGAGCUCGAAGUCUGGGUGCGUGGGGAACGUAGUGCCAUACCAAAUGGUGUUGAGGAUGAUGUUCGAGACGGGAUCCAUGGGGCCAUAGCAGUAGCCGCCCUUGAUGAGGCUGCAAUGGUGGAGCUUGCGCAAGCCGUCCCGAGGCAGCCGGGCAAGUGCCUCUAGGUACAGACCAUGGAUCUGUUUGUUUUUUGAAAAGGAGGCUUACCUUCGGUCUCUGCAUCAAUCGAUGCAUGCAGCCAUAUUAUUAAAAUCAAAACAAGGUCUUAAGUUCCAUGGAAACUCAAAAUCUGAGUAAGAAAGAUAAACAAGUCUGUAAAACGCCACACCCGGCGAGAAUGUGCCACAUCCGGCUAUAAAAAAUAGGCUACGAUGCCUACACACCUAGCCUAUUAUUAGCUCGCCAUCCAAAUUGGCUGAAGAUAGCCCGUGCUAUCGUCUCCCAUCGGCUGCACCCAAUAACCAUAAUCUCCCUGUAGUCUGCAUGAGUGAGUAACAACCACAUACGGAUCCAGGUUGUAGCUUUAUAGAUAACCUGCAAAAAAUUAGUGAAUUUUGUCCCAUUAAAAAUCAUAUCAUUUCGAGUGCAUAUAGCCCAUAAUAGUGCACAUAUUCCUAUCCGAAUAUGUUUAGCUGUGUGUAUGUCUACUCCAUUAAGCCACAUCCCAAAUAACGUGUUGAUACUCAUUGGAGGAUUAACGUUAAAAGCUAUAUGAAUGAAUCGCUAUAACAAUUUUGCAAGUGGACAUUCGAGAAAGAUGUGUUUAACUGUCUCGUUUUGAUCACAAAAACAACAUCUAGAUUGACCGACCUAAUUCCUUUUCAUCAAAUUAUCUUUGGUCAAGAUGACUCCUUAGUGGAAAAACCAUGUAAAUAUCUUGAUGCGGAGUGAAACUUUAAUCUUUCAUAUGUGCAAAGACCUCGACAAUGACCCGGAAUCAAUUAAGUCCAAAUACAUGGAUUUGACACAGAAUACUCCAUUCGUGGUUAACUUCCAACUAAUUGUAUCCGCCUGAUCUGAAAGUUGAACAUCCAUCAGCCUACGUACCAGGUGUAACCAAGCAUUCCAACGUUCCCCUACAAGAGAUCUCCUAAAUUGGGUAUUAAGUGGUACUGAGUUUAAUACUGUGGCGACAUAAUCUUCCUUACAUUGCACCAUAUUAUAUAGGGAGGGGUAUUGUAAGGUCAGGGGCGUCUCCCUAGCCAAGUGUCCUCCCAGAACCUAGUAGAAGUACCACAACCAAUUAGGAACUUCACCCGCUGGAACAAAGUUACUUUCGUCUUCAUUAACCCUUUCCAAAAGGGUGAGUCUGUUGGUCUUGCAUCACCUGGGCCUAAGUCUUAGUAUGUAGAUAUUUAUUCCACAAGAUUUGUACCCACAUGCCUUUGGUCUCCGUUGAUAAUCUGUAUAACCAUUUUCUAAGUAAACUUCUAUUCUUUACCUUUAAAUUCUUGGUCUCUAACCCACCCUAGUCUUUGGGUCUACACAUAAUAUCCCAUCUAGCCAGUCUAUAUUUUUUCUUGGCCUCAUCGCUUUGCCAGAAGAAACGGGAUCUGUAAAAGUCCAAUCUUUUCCGUACCCCUACCGGUACUUCAAAGAAAGAUAGGAGGAACAUUAGAAAACUCGUCCGUAAGACAUGAGCUAAUCAACACCAACCUUCCUCCGUAAGACAUGAGCUUGCCCUUCCAGUAGCUCAAUUAUUUUUCAAAUCUAUCUUCUAUAUAUUUCCAUUCUUUGUUCGUUAACCGUUUAUGGUGAAUUGGGAUCCCUAGAUAACUAAAUGGUAGGGAUCCCAUUUCACAACCAAAUAAGUUGUUGUAAUUAUCCUGUUCUUCUUUAGCUCUCCCAAAGUAGAACCGUUCUCUUUUAUUGAAAUUGAUUUUGAGCCCGGAUAUUUGCUCGAAAAGGCAUAAAAUAAGCUUCAUAUUCCUAGCUUUUGCAAGAUCGUGUUCCAUGAAAAUAAUAGUAUCGUCCGCGUAUUGUAAGACGGAGACGCCCGCCCUCUACAAGAUGGGGAACGAGACCUCCUACUUGGCCGCUCUCUUUAGCCCGACUAAUAAGUACUGCCAACACCAACAUAUCCGCUAUGAUAUUAAACAACACAGGAGACUGAUGUCGCUUGAAGCUACGACGGUUUUUUCACUAAAGAGGAAGGGAUGAUGCAGCAUAGCGGCGGUAGGUAUUUCCCUCAGAUAUGAAACCAAGGUUAUCGAACCAGUAGGAGAAUCAAGCAACACAAUGUAAACAACCCCUACACACAAAUAACAACCACUCGCAACCCGACGUGUUAAAGGGGUUGUCAAUCCCUUUCGGGUAACGACACUAGAAAUGGCGUGUGGACGGGAGAGAGUUGUAAAUAUUGAUAGAUCGAACGCCAAAUAAAAUAAAUUGCAAAAAGGUAUUUUUGGGUUUUUGGUCUAAUAGAUCUGAAAAUAAAAGCAAAUAAAAAUAGACCGCGAAGGCAAAUAAUAUGAGAAAGAGACCCGGGGGCCGUAAGUUUCACUAGUGGCUUCUCUCGAGAAAAAUAGCAAACGGUGGGUAAACAAAUUACUGUUGAGCAAUUGAUAGAACCUCAAAUAAUUAUGACGAUAUCCAGGAAAUGAUCAUUACAUAGGCAUCACGUCCAAGAUUAGUAGACCGACUCCUGCCUGCAUCUACUACUAUUACUCCACACAUCGACCGCUAUCCAGCAUGCAUCUAGUGUAUUAAGUUCAUGGAAAAACGGAGUAAUGCAAUAAGAACGAUGAAAUGAUGUAGACGAGAUCCGUUUAUCUAUGGAGGUAGAUAUAGAUCCCAUCUAUUUAUCCUUAGUAGCAACGAUACAUACGUGUCGGUUCCCUUUCUGUCACUAGGAUUAAGCACCAUAAGAUCGAACCCACUACCGGGCACCUCUACCCAUUGCAAGAUAAAUAGAUCAAGUUUGCUAGAUAAAAACCAAAUAUCAGAGAAGAAAUACGAGUCUAUAAGAGAUCAUGCAUAAAAGAGAUCAAAGAAACUCAAAUACUUUCAUGGAUAUAAAAAGAUAGAUCUGAUCAUAAACUCAAAGUUCAUUGAUCCCAACAAACACACUGCAAAAGAGUUACAUCAUAUGGAUCUCCAAGAGACCAUUGUAUUGAGAAUCAAGAGAGAGAGAUGAAGCCAUCUAGCUACUAACUACGGACCCGAAGGUCUACAAAGAACUAUGCACGCAUCAUCGGAGAGGCACCAAUGGAAGUGGUGAACCCCUCCGUGAUGGUAUCUAGAUUGGAUCUGGUGGUUCUGGACUCUGCGGUGACUAGAUGAAUAUUUUGUCGACUCCCCUAGGGUUUUGGCAAUAUUGGGGUAUUUAUAGAGCAAAGAGGCGGUCCGGGGGGCACCCGAGGUGGGCACAACCCACCAGGGUGCGCCUGGGGUUGUGCCCCCCUCGGGGUACCCCCAGGCGCAGCCAGGGUCCGUUGUGUUCCUUUUGGCCCAUAAAAAUUCUCCGUAAAGUCUCGUGGCAUUUGGACUCCGUUUGAUAUUGAUUUUCUGCGAUGUAAAAACACGGAAAAAACAGGAACUGGCACUUGGCACUAUGUCAAUAGGUUAGUACCAAAAAAAUGAUAUAAAAUGACUAUAAAAUGAUUAUAAAACAUCCAAGAUUGAUAAUAUAACAGCAUGGAACAAUCAAAAAAUAUAGAUAUGUUGGAUACAUAUCAGCAUCCCCAAGCUUAACUCCUACUCGUCCUCGAGUAGGUAAGUGAUAAAAACAGAAUUUUUGAUGUGGAGUGCUGUUCAUCAUGUCAUAUUAUAUUCUUUUCUUUAUAGCAUGGACAUUUGGACUUUUAUGUGAUUCAAAGCAAGUAUAGUUUUGACAUAAUAGUUUAGAUACUCAAGCAUAUCAACAAGCAACCACGUCUUUCAAAAUAUCAAUGCUAAAAUAAGUUAUCCCUAGCCCAUGAUGCUCAAACAUUGAUCCAUUCAUGAAACACACUCGAAUAUUAGCUACACCCAAUACUUAAGUACAAUCAUAUUGCCUCCUAGUUUGUCAUGGAAGUAUCAUGGCAGAUGUCCUCAUGGAAGGACUUAGUUAUGGAGCCAUUGCGACGAGGUUAGCUUAAAGGGGUCAAACGGGACAAAGGACACAGAGAGUUUAUACUGGUUCGGCCCCUUGCGAUGAAGGCAAAGGCUUACUCCAGUUGAGGUGGUAUUGCUAGGGUUUCGAUUACCAGGGAGCAAACACGCUUUGCAUGGCUCUCGAUUUGAUGUUUCUUGCCCUAAGCCGCUGUCGGGUCGUCCCCUUAUAUAAACAAGUUGAUGCCCUGUGGCCUACAGAGUCCCGGCCGGCUCAUACAAUUUGUACGGCUCGGUGACGUAUCUUACAUGCCUUAUAUUACAAGUCUACUCAUACAUGGCGGUUUACAUUUACGGGCCUUAAGCCGUCUCUAGGCUUGGGCCUCCUACCGGCCUAUCUAUGAAUCGCCGUCUGGUAUAUUCUUGGCCUUCAUGGAUGAACCACCAUUGUGGUUGACCCGACCCCUCCUGGGCGGGUCAUACCUGAUAGUCAUAUCCCCAACAUAGUUGGUGCUUUUUGUAAGAGAAGAUGGAGACUUAAAAUAAAAAUUGCAUAAAGUAAAAGAUAGGCCCUUCGCAGAGGGAAGUAGGGAUUUGUAGAGGUGUCAGAGCUCAAAGCGAAAAAUUUAGAGAUGAAAACAUUUUGAGAGGUGUAUCCAUCCCACCAACGAAAACGACUUAGAGUUCCCAAUACUUUCCAUGCAUUAUCAUAGGCGGUUCCCAAACAGAAAAUAAAGUGUAUUCCUUUUUCCACCAUAACUUUCACUUUCCAUGGCUAACCGUAUCCACGGGUGCCCUCCAUACCAACACUUUCUAAGAAAUUUAUUAUUUGACAACAUAAAGUAAAUUUAUUUGUUUUUGCAUUUCGGGACUGGGCAUCCCUAAUACCUUUGCCUUACUCUCGUGCAAUGACAAGUGAAUAAACACUCAUCUUGGGAAUAACACAUCUAGCAUGGAAAAUAUUAGCCACCCCUCACUGCUUCGUGAGCGAAACAAACACACAAUAGAGAAGUUUAUUUUGAAAAUUAGAGAUGGCACAUGCAAAUUUGCUUAGAAUGGGAAAAGAAUACCACAUAUAGGUAGAUAUAGUGGACUCAUGUGGCAAAACUGGUUUAAAGGAUUUUGGAUGCACAAGUAGUGAUCAUACUUAGUGCAAAACGAAGGCUAGCAAAAGAACGAAUAAUCUCAUAAGCAAGCAUUAAGCAUAAUUAACACCGAAUAAUGCACCAUAAGUAGGAUAUAAUUUCAUUGCAUGAUUAUUGACUUUCGUGCAUGCAUAGGGAAUCACAAACCUUAACACCAAUAUUCUUACUAAAGCAUAAUUACUCAUCAAGAUGACUCACAUAUCACAUCAUCAUAUCUCAAAACUAUUACUAAGAAUCAAGUUUAUUUUUCCAAUGAUCUUCAUGACAUUUUUUUCUUUUAUUUAUCCUUCUUGGAUAUCUAUCACUUUGGGACUAAUUUUCAUGUGUUCCUUUUCAUAAGCUCAAACAAAUAUAAGUGAAGAUCAUGAGCAUAACAAAUUUUCUUUCUCUUAGAAUAAUUUAAGUGAAGCAAAAGAGAAUUUCUUAAAAAAUUUACUAACUCUCAAAUAAAUCUAAGUCAAGCAAGAGAGCAUUUCUUAAAAAAUAACAAAGCACACCGUGCUCAAAAAGAUCUAAGUGAAGCACUAGAGCAAGUCCAUUGCUCAUAAAAGAUUUAAGUGAAGCAUAUAGAGCAAUUCUAACAAGUCAUGACAUAAUUUUGGCUCUCUCAAAUACAUGUGUCCAGCAAGGAUUGAUGACUUAAAACACAAAACAAAACAAGCAAAGACACAUAUCAUACAAGACGCUCCAAGCAAAACACAUAUCAUGUGGCGGAUAAAAAUAUAGUCUCGAGUAAAAUACCGAUAGUUGUUGGAAGAAAGCGGGGAUGCCACUCGGGGGCUUCCCCAAGCUUAGUUGGUUGCUCAUUCUUGGAUAAUAGCUUGGGAUGCCGAGGCAUCCUAAUGACCCACAAGUAUAGGGGAUCUAUCAUAGUCCUUUCUAUAAGUAAGAGUGUCAAACCCAACGAGGAGCAGAAGGAAAUGAUAAGCAGUUUUCAGUAAGGUAUUCUCUGCAAGCAUUGAAAUUAUCAGUAACAGAUAGUUUUGUGAUAAGGUAAUUUGUAACGGGUAACAAGUAAUGAAAGUGAAUAAGGUGAAGCAAGAUGGCCCAAUCCUUUUUGUAGCAAAGGACAAGCCUGGACAAACUCUUAUAUAAAGGAAAACGCUCCCGGGGACACGUGGGAAUUAUCGUCAAGCUAGUUUUCAUCACGUUCAUAUGAUUCGCGUUCGGUACUUUGAUAAUUUGAUAUGUGGGUGGACCGGUGCUUGGGUACUUCCCUUCCUUGGUCAAGCAUCCCACUUAUGAUUAACUCCUAUUGCAAUCAUCCUCAACUACAACAGAAGUAUUAAGGUAAACCUAACCAUAGUAUGAAACAUAUGGAUCCAAAUCAGCCCCUUACGAAGCAACGCAUAAACUAGGGUUUAAGCUUCUGUCACUCUAGCAACCCAUCAUCUACUUAUUACUUCCCAAUGCCUUCACCUAGGCCCAAACAAUGGUGAAGUGUCAUGUAGUCGAUGUUCACAUGACACCACUAGAGGAAAGACAACAUACAUCUCAUCAAAAUAUCAAACGAAUACCAAAUUCACAUGACUACUUAUAGCAAGACUUCUCCCAUGUCCUCAGGAACAAACAUAACUACUCACAAAUCAUAUUCAUGUUCAUAAUCAGAGGGGUAUUAAUAUGCAUAAUGGAUCUAAACAUAUGAUCUUCCACCAAGUAAACCAACUAGCAUCAACUACAAGGAGUAAUCAACACUACUAGCAACCCACAGGUACCAAUCUGAGGUUUUGAGACAAAGAUUGGAUACAAGAGAUGAACUAGGGUUUGAGAUAAGAUGGUGUUGGUGAAGAUGUUGAUAGAGAUUGACCCCCUCCCGAUAAGAGGAUCGAUGGUGAUGACUUCCCCCUCCCAGAGGGAAGUUUCCCCGGCAUAACAGCUCCGCCGGAGCCCUAGAAUGGUUCCGUCAAGGUUCCGCCUCAUGGCAGCGGAGUUUCGUCCCGUGAGCUUGCUUAUGAUUUUUCCUGGACGAAAAACUCCAUAUAGCCAAAGAUGGGCAUCAGAGGGCUGCCAGGGGGCCCAUGAGGCAGGGGGCGCGCCCAGAGGGGUAGGGCGCGUCCCCCACCCUCAUGGAUGGUGGGUGGCCCCCUCUGGUACUUCUUUCGCCCAAUAUUUUCUAUAUAUUCUGAAACGUGCUCCCGUGAAGUUUUAGGACUUUUGGAGUUGCGCAGAAUAGGUCUCUAAUAUUUGCUCCUUUUCCAGCCCAGAAUUCCAGCUGCCGGCAUUCCCCCUCUUCAUGUAAACCUUGUAAAAUAAGAGAGAUUAGGCAUAAGUAUUGUGAUAUAAUGUGUAAUAACAGCCCAUAAUGCAAUAAAUAUUGGUAUGAAAUCAUGAUGCAAAAUGGACGUAUCAACUCCCCCAAGCUUAGACCUUGCUUGUCCUCAAGCAAAAGCCGAUAUCAAAAAAUAUGUCCACAUGUUUAGAGAUAGAUGUGUCGAUAAAAUAAAAUACGGACAUGAGGGCAUCAUGAUCAUUAUAUAUAUAUAUAUAUAUAUAUAUAUAUAUAUAUAUAUAUAUAUAUAUAUAUAUAUAGGGUCACGCUGUUCGUCACCCUGGGUGAGGAACAGUUAUUCUUCACCCCCUCUCUAUUUUGACAUCAAUGCACCGUAUUUUUACAUUUCAUAAUUUUUUUCUUAUUUCAUACAUAAAAAGAAACGUAAGAAAAUAUGUACUUGCGGUAAAAAAUAUUUUAUGUUACGUAAAAUUACGAAUGUAAAAACAUAGUGUAAAACAUACAUAAAAUGUGAUUUUUCUGGUCUUAUAACCUAUAUUUUUCUUUUUAUAGCAAAAUUUAUAUAUUUAAUCAAUAUGCAUGUAACUAUUUAUAUUCUAAAUAGAAUUUAUUUAGAAAGCGAUCGUAAAAUUACCUCGGGUGAAGAAUAAUUUAUUCUGCACCCUGGAUGAUGAAUAGUAACAUUAUAUAUAUAUACAUACAUAAACACUAUUCUGAUCACCGGAUCAAAAUAUUAUUCUAAUCACAACAUGAACUUCCCGAGUAACGCGCCUGACCUUUCCCGAGUACUAGUUUGAACUUCAGCUAAAAGGUGUCCAAAUGGGGCUUGCGAUUUAAGAGCAGUUUAAGGUGUCCAAAGGUGUCCAAAGGUGUCCGAUGGAUAGCUAUGGACAUUAGUAUCAUGACCCAAGUUAAAUUUUUGGCAAAAUGUAAGCGGUUUAAGAGCAGUUUUGAAAACCGUUUUUUCUUCACACAAAAAAGUGAAUCGUAUUUUUAAUCGCAUUUUUAAACCGUUUAUCGAAAUGAGACAAAUAAUAUGGCUUUGGAAAGCUGCUGCAAAAUCGCUCGUUCCACAUGUUGAAAGUUUUCUCUAAUUACCUAUGGUUAAAGAGUAAUUCGGAAAAUCAUAAAAUUUCGCAAACCGAAUACCCGAGUUCGUAUUUUUGACGCCAUUUCUAAACGGCUAAUCCAAUUAAGGCAAAUAAUAUGAUGUUGGAAAGCUUAUGAAAAUGCUCUACUUUUUUAUGUUAAAAGUGUUUUCUAAUUUUGAAUGGUUUAACAGUAAUUUAGAAAAUGGUACAAGUUCCACUGAGUUUGUAUUUUUGAGCUAAUUUUUUAACUGUACGUCCAAAUGCAGCAAAUGAUAUGGCGUUGGAAAGUUUGAAGAAAUGCGAAACUUUUUUGUAUAUAUUGUUUCUCCUAAUUCAUUACGGUUUUAUGUCAGUUUUGAAAAUGGUUAAAAACGUAUUUUUGCCGUAAUUUCUACAAACUUUAUCGGAAUGGGGCAAAUAAUAUACCGCUGAAAAGCUACGAAAAAUGCGAAACUUUUUCAUGUUGAUGGUUUUCUCGGAAUCCUGGCCGUUUUCAAGUAAUUUCGAAAAUGGCGAGAUCAUUCGUUCUGCCUUUAUCGCGAAAUAGAUUCUUCGAAAAUGCACCGCGUGAAGAACCUGAACUUCUCGGCAUGUCUACUUGAACUUCACUCUGUUUUUCACAUGUUUUUUUCUCAUAGCUCUCUAUCCACUGCUUGUAGCUGUCCAUCCACUCAUCGGAAUUGAGCAAGUGAUAUACCAGUGGAAAGCUGUUGUAAACACGCAACUUUCCCAUGUUGAUCAUUUUUUCAUACUCGCGACGAUUUUAAAAGUUUUUCAUCUGAUAUUCAUUCAUUGUAGUAGGUGAACUUCCUGCUGUUUUUACGUUGAACUUCUGUGACAUAUUUUUCAUUUGUAAUUUUCUCAUCGAUUCGUCAAGUGUUACACAAAUGGUAUUUCUUUUGUAUAAACCUCUCUCACAAUAUUUUUUAAAAUUUCUCCGACAGAGGACUUGAACUUAUACCAACAAACUUUUAGUCUUUGCAUUUUUUAUUCUUUUUAAUACAAAAUGCACACUGUGUAGUACGUGAACUUCUGGCAGUUAUCAUUCUGAACUUCUGUCAGUUACAUGAAAAUAUAUGAGUUUUUUAUGAAUUUUUAAUCUGAUUUUUUAAUCAUUUUUUAUGAAAUUUUGAAGCGCUCUAUUUUUAGUAGUUGAACUUCUUGUUAUUUUAUUUUUGAACUUCUUGUUUUCAUUCUUUAAUAAUGAGGAAAAUCAGAGUUUUUCAAUAAUCAUCGAACUUCUCCGUCUUUUUAAUAAGGACUUCCUGGUUUUUAUUUCUUAAUCCUUUUCUAUGAAAUUUUGAAGCGUUAUAUUUUUAGAAGUUGAACUUCUUGUUUCAUUCUUUAAUAACGAAGAAAAUAUGAGUUUUCUAUAAUCAUGGAACUUCUCCAACUUUUUAAUAUGGACUUCCUUGUUUAUUUCUUAAUAUUUUUUAUGAAAUUUUAAAGCAUUAUUUUCUUUAAAAGUUAAACUUCUUGUUUUUUAUUUUUGAACUUCUUUCCAUUCUUUAAUAUCGAGAAAAAUCUGAGUUUUCUAUGAUCAUCGAACUUCUCCAUCUAUUUAAUAUGGACUUCCUGGUUUUAUUUCUUAAUCUUUUUUAUGAAAUUUUGAAGCGUUAUAUUUUUAAAAGUUGAACUUCUUGUUUUUUUAUUUUCGAACUUCUUGUUUCCAUUCUUUAAUAACGAGGCAAAUCUGAGUUUUCUAUAAUCAUCGAACUUCUAUAUCAAACCGCUCUAACUUUUUUGUUUGAAUUUCUUAUAUGUAUUUUUAGAAAUUUGAAAAUUGUAGUUUUGUUAGAAACAUCAAACUUCUUUGUUAUUUUAAAUUGAACUUAUUGGUUUUAUUCUUUAGUAACAAAAAAUCGAGUUUUUAAUUAAGUAUCAAACUUAUCCACGUUUUUAAAAUGAAAUUCUUGGUUUACUCUUCAAUAACGAGAAAAAUUGAGUUUUUAAUGUACAUUGAAUUACUCUGUUUUUUUAAAUUGAACUUCUUGGUUUAAUCUUUAGUAUCGGGGAAAAUCCAAAAAAAUUUAAAAAAGGGGGAAAAUCUUUUUAAAACUUUUUUGUUGUUCCCUUAUUUUAAUUUUAACUUAUUAGUUAUUCUUUAGAACGAGAAUCGGAGGUUUUUAUAAACUUUAGACUUCUUUGUUAUUUUAAUUUGAACUUCUUAGUUUUAUUCUUUAGUAACGAGGAAAAUCGAGUUUUUUGAACUUCUUUGUUUUAAAAUUUUGAACUUCUUGCUUUUAUUUUUUAAUAAUGUGAAAAAUCCAAAUUUUUCAUAGACAUCGAACUUCACCAUUUUUUAAAUUUGAACGGAUAUUAUUGAACUUUCAAGAAAUAAUGCAGAACAAGAGAAAAGGGACUAAGAGGCCGACACAUCAUACUAGCUAGGUACAAACAUUAAUUAGGCUAAUUACAAAAUGACUAGUCUUUGUUUUCCAGACGCAACAUUUUCGUGCUGGGCCAUUUUGUGAUAAAGCGGUGAGUGUUUCCCACCACAUGCUUUUUUGCUCUUAUUCUCUCCUAUUUAUUUUUUAACCACUACAAUAUCCCUCUCUUAUGUGUUUUAUUUCUCCAUAGAUCAAUGCGAUGUACAAGCACGCAGCGACCAAACCUAGCAAAUAUCUUGAGUAUGUAACUUGAAAGGAAAAAAAUGAACACACGUCCAACAAGUAGUCCACAAGCACACAUGUCUAGUAGUCGGCAGCAGCAAGUCACGCAGACAAUCAUGGUAGUAGGCGUAUGGUCGUAAUAGAACUUGGCGCGGUUGACAUAUAGAUGUACUAGAACCUCGUGUAUAGCUGUACCAGAACUUCAUUGGACGUCCCUAAGCAUCUCAGAAAUUAGCUCAUUGACACAAAAUAAAAAAUUGGAAAUUUACAGCAAAUCCCCUGAAUCCGCAGAAACACACAUGUGGAGUGGAUGAAUUUAUUUAUCAUUUUAUCUUAAGGUGGCACGGAGACGAAGUGCAAGCCACACUCUCAGACUUGUGUAACAUGUGAAAAUAGGAUUGUUAUAUAUCUUCGGUGGCACUUCACACGCGAGCAUUUAGACUAAUAGUCCAAAUGUCAGCUAUCGUUCAAUCAUUCAAAGAAGUGAAGUUCAGUUAACAGAACUGCAAAAACAUAAGAAGAAAUGCAUCAAUUGUUGACAGAAAACUUGCAGAACAAACAAGUAAAUAACUAUUAUAGAGGACAGCGGAAGACUUGCAGAAAUGAUGUGACACUAGAAAAGAGGAAUCUACAAAUUAAAUGUUGAUCUUAGACUAUAAUUAACACUAGAUCUCCAACUUGUAGGCUAUCGGAAGUUAUAUCAUACUGAUAUACUGUCACCACAAAGUGUCUUUAGUGUCACGUUAUAAGAGGGAAGCUAAUGACAAGUAAAAUCCUGACUAAUACUUGAGAACCAUGUUGCUAUCACGACCAGAAGAUCAACAUCUCAAAUUCUCAUUAAAACAACAAAAGCUCAUUGACCCCGAGCAUCAAGGAAUAUCAAUCACUAAAAUUCCAAAACACUCCACAACUCUAAACUGUAGUUCCUGAAUGCAAUCAGUCGUUGUUGCUCGCGAAUUGUUCCAACCACAGCAUGGAGGAAGAGUUGCAGCAUUAGCAUGGAGGAAGAAAGGCUCAGUUCUAGAGGUAAAAGCCAGCGGCGCGAUGAAGUUCAGUUUGGUCGUGGGAAGAAAGUCAGGGCCAGUGAAAGUUGAAUGCACUAGUGACAAUGAAAGCCAAACGCAAUUUCUCAUCCAGUAGUCCGUUAAUUCCGUUGCAUUAUUAUGACAGAACCAACCUACUGUCGGCAGCCAAUUAUUUUAGAGUAGCAAGUGUAAAUGAGAAAAAGUACAUUAAAUAAUUUGUUCUCCCUCUCACGGUAAGACAAAAGGUAGCAAGAGAAAGCCCGUAGUAGCGCCGAACUCUAGAAGGGUGGCGAGCAUGGACACCACUGCACUCCAGCUCCUCGACCUUAGCAAGAAAGAGCAUGCAGCAUGUAGCAGUCCUGGACUUCAGUGCCUCAAUUGACACCACGGCAGCUCUGUAGUGUCCUGCAUGGCUUCAAGCUGAACUUUUGAAUGUCAGUUGGAAGUGCAGACUUCUCUGUGUCGGUAUUGCAAAAAUAUCUAACACAAGUCGAGGAAUGAAAAGCAAGAUGUUUGCAAAAACGAAACAAAAAGAAAGAGAUGCAUCAGUCAAGCGUAUCAUGUUGAAGCUACGCGAUUGCAAAGAAAAGAAGGCACGAUGGCGAGGCUUCUCGGCAGAUCGACGGAUGGUGAACUUGUAGCAUCUCCCCGCACAUGGAUUUGGACUACAACGACGUCGUUCUCGGACUGCAUCUGGGUGCGUGGAGUUCCAUCAGCGGGAACUGGGAGGCAGGGGAGCUUGUCGAGGAGUGUGGGAGAUUCAGUGGGAGAGAGUCCACCACUACGGUGGAUUCAGGGGGAGGGAUCGGAGGGGGCGGCUGCUCGUGCGAUCUGGGGACCGGCGAUGGCGCUCGAGAACCAGGGCAGAACGGCGAAAGCACGGGCGGGUUUCGGGGCCGCGCCGCCAUUGGGGAGGAGGGGAGGGGGCCGCGCCGCCAUUGGGGAGGAGGGGAGGUGGCUGCGAGGGAGGUGUCCAGCGGUGUGCAGGGUUGCUAGGUCCCGGCGGCACCGGUUGGGGCAGCGCGGGGGCGGCGGCGCCGAUUGCGGCGGGGCAGUUGAGGCGGGGUGCGGGCGGUGGCGUCAGUUGGGGCGGGGUGCGGGCGGUGGCGUCAGUUGGGAUGGGGUGCCGACGGCGCAGGGCCGGCAGCGCCGGUUGGGGCGGGGUACGGGAGGCGAAUCGAUCUGGGGCGGGUGGUGAGCAUCGAUCUGGGGCGGGUGGCAGGCAUCGGCCGGUUUGGGGCAGGAGGUGCGGGAUGUAGGUGGUGGAUCAGGAUUGAGGGAGGUGGGGUGGGUUUUUUCUUUUCUUUUGUUUGUCGCUGCCCGGUUUAGAAGUUCAGAACAUCCCGUCGGGCCCAUAUAUAUAGGGUCGGGCUAUUCGUCACCCUGGGUGAGGAAUAGUUAUUCUUCACCCCCCCUCUAUUUUACUAUCAAUGCACCGUAAUUUUACGUUCCGUAAGUUUUGUCUUAUUUCCAGCGCAAAAAGGGACCGUAAGAAAAUAUAUAAUCGCCGUAAAAAAUAUUUUAUGUUAUGUAAAAUUACAAACAUAAAAACAUAGUCUAAAAUACACAUAAACUGUAAAUUUUCUUGUCUUAUAAACUAUAUUUUUAUUUUCUUAUGUCAAAUUUUACGUAGUGAAUCAAUAGGAAUGUAACUAUUUGAAUUUGAAAUGUAAUUUAAUUAUGAAAUGAUCGUAAGAUUACCUCGGAUGAAAAAUAACUUAUUCUGCAGCCUGGGUGAUGAAUAGUAACACUAUAUAUAUAUUGUCAUAUGAUCUCUUAUGCUAAAGUAACAAUUCAAUCACAAUUUCAAGUAUGAAUUAGAAACUUUAUCGAGAACCAACAAACUAUAAUCUCAGUCAUUGAAGCAAUUGUAAUUUAUCAUAACAUAGAAAAGAGUCAAUAUAAGAGCUUUUCAGGAAUUCCACAUACUCAACUAUCAUUUAGUCUUUCACAAUUGCUAACACUCAUGUGAUAUUUAUGGUUAUGAAGUUUUAAUCGGACACAGAGAAAGAUAGGGGCUUAUAGUUUUGCCUCCCAACCUUUUACCUCAAGGGUAAUGUCAACAAUAAUAGUUCAUGAAAACUCACAUCCUAUUAGCCAUAUAUAUCAGGAUCUUUCCAACACAUUGUGCUUGCCAAAGAUAAAAUGUAAAAAGGAAAGGUGAAGAUCAUCAUGACUCUUGUAUGAAGUAUAAGACAAGAAUAAAAUAUAGGCCCUUUGCAGAUGGAAGCAGAGGUUGUCAUGUGAUUUUAUGGUUGGAUGCACAAAAUCUUAAUGCGAAAGAACGUCACUUUAUAUUGCCACUUGUGAUAUGGACCUUGUCGGUGUCAAAACCGGCUGAUCUCGGGUAGGGGGUCCCGAACUGUGCGUCUAAGGCGGAUGGUUACAGGAGGCAGGGGACACGAUGUUUUACCAAGUUCGGGCCCUCUUGAUGGAGGUAAAACCCUACGUCCUGCUUGAUUAAUAUUGAUGAUAUGGGUAGUACAAGAGUAGAUCUACCACGAGAUCAAAGAGGCUAAACCCUAGAAGCUAGCCUAUGGUAUGAUUGUAUGUUGUCCUAUGGACUAAAACCCUCCGGUUUAUAUAGACACUAGAAAGGGCUAGGGUUACACAAGGUCGGUUACAAAGGAGGAGAUAUACAUAUCCGUAUUGCCUAGCUUGCCUUCCACGCCAAGUUGAGUCCCAUCCGGACACGAGACGAAGUCUUCAAUCUUGUAUCUUCAUAAUCCAACAGUCCGGCCAAAGGAUAUAAUCCGGCUGUCCGGAGACCCCCUAAUCCAGGACUCCCUCAGACCUUUAUUAGGUAGUCCGUCGCUUUUAUUUCUUCCACAUCACAAGAUCGUAUAAAGCUUAUUUUCUCCACACUAAUAAAUCCUACAUAUUUAGAGAGCAAUUUUUAUUGCUUGCAACGAUGACAACUUACUUGAAGGAUCUUACUCAAUCCAUAGGUAGAUAUGGUGGACUCUCAUGGCAAAACUAGGUUUAAGGAUAUUUGGAAGCACAAGUAGUAUCUCAACUUGGUGCAAAGAAUUUGGCUAGCAUGAGAGGGAAAGGCAAGCUCAACAUGUUGGAUGAUCCAUGACAAUAUAAUUUAUUUCAGAUGUAAGAAAACAUAACCCAUUACGUUGUCUUCCUUGUCCAACAUCAACUCUUUAGCAUGUCAUAUUUUAAUGAGUGCUCACAAUCAUAAAAGAUGUCCAAGAUACUAUAUUUAUAUGUGAAAACCUCUCUUUCUUUAUUACUUCCUAUUAAUUGCAACGAUGACCAAAACUUUGUUUGUCAACUCUCAACAACUUUUAUUCAUCAUACUCUUUAUAUGUGAAGUCAUUACUCUCCAUAAGAUCCAUAUGAUCUCUUUAUUUCUUUUUAUUCUUUAUCUUUUAUUUUUAUUCCCUCAAGAUCAUAGCAAGAUAAUCAAGCCCUUGACUCAACACUAAUCUUUAUUAUAUAUAGAUCACGGACUCGAUUACACAGAAGGAUCAUAAAGCAAAACUCAAAACUAGAUCAUACUAAAACUUUAUUCUACUAGAUCAAGAUAUUACCAAAAGGAUCGAACUAAGAAAAAUGGCAAAGAUAAAAGUGUGACGAUGAUACGAUACCGGGGCACUCCCCCAAGCUUGGCAGUUGCCAAGGGGAGUGCCCAUACCCGAUACUCAGUUCUCCUUUGUUGGUGAAGAAGGUGUUGGUGAUGAUGGAUAGUCGCACAUCGAGCGUAGGAGGUCCUCCAAUUUGCGGAUAAUGCCCUUGAGUGCGAUGAUAUGAUCCUUCAACAAAAUAUUUUCACUCAUGAGAUACUUGUUUUGAAUGCGAGCUAACUCAAUCAUCUUGAAAACUUCAAUCUCCGUUGGGGUAAAGAGAUUAUGAUGAGGUUGAAGGAUGUCUUCUUCUACUACUGCCGGAACUUGAUCCCCCACGACCUUCUUGAUCCUGUCAACCUUGUUGAUCUCUUCGAUCCCUUAUCUCUUCAACUCUAUCUUCAUUAGCCAAGCAUCAUUGCCCUCAUUGUUGGAGGAGGAGGGAGACGACAUGAUGCCUGGCCUUAACAACCCUAGCAGAAAACAGCUCGAAACAAAAACAUGAGAUUUUUGCGUGGUACAGUGGUCAAAACCUUCGGGAGAUUAUACAAUGAUUUUGUACUGACCAAAAGAAGUAUCGUGCAAGAAAACGGAGUCCGGAGAGCACACGAGGUGCCCACAAGGCAGGGGGCGCUCCCUCCACCCUCGUGGACGCCUCAUGUCCUUCCCGGACUGCUUUUUAUUUUCCUAUUUUCUUAAAUAUUCCAAAACAGAGAAAAAUGCUAUUGGAACUGUUUUGGAGUCAGUUUACUUACCGUACCACACACCUAUUCCUUUUCGGAGUCUGAAACGUUCAGGAAAGUGUCCCUUAUGUAUUCCUCCAGGGUUAUAGUUUCAAUAACAUUAGUUUCAACAUUUAUGGGAUUACCUGAGAUGGAAUGUUUGGUUCUUUGACCAUUCACCACCCUCGGAUUUGUGCCUUCGAAGUUGUUGAUUUUUAUGGCAUCGGAGCGGCAGACCUCCUCAAUGACGUAAGGACCUUCCCAUUUAGAGAGGAGUUUUCCUGCAAAAAAUCUUAAACAAGAGUUGUAUAACAAUACAUAAUCACCUAUAUUAAACUCACGCUUUUGUAUCCUUUUGUCAUGCCAUCUUUUAACUUUUUCUUUAAACAGUUUGGCAUUCUCAUAAGCCUGGGUUCUCCAUUCAUCAAGUGAGCUAAUGUCAAAAAGCCUCUUCUCGCCGGCAAGUUUGAAAUCAUAAUUGAGCUCUUUAAUGGCCCAAAAUGCCUUAUGUUCUAGUUCGAGAGGUAAGUGACAUGCAUUUCCAUAAACCAUUUUAUACGGAGACAUACCCAUAGGAUUCUUAUAUGCAGUUCUAUAGGCCCAUAAUGCAUCAUCAAGUUUCUUGGACCAAUUCUUCCUAGAUCUAUUAACAAUAUUUUGCAAAAUUAAUUUAAGCUCUCUAUUACUCAAUUCUACUUGACCACUAGACUGUGGAUGAUAUGGAGAUGCAAUUCUAUGAUUAACAUCAUACUUAGCAAGCAUAUUACUAAAAGCACCAUGAAUAGAAUGUGAACCACCAUCAGUCAUUAAAUAUCUAGGGACUCCAAACCUCGGAAAAAUAACUUCUUUAAGCAUCUUAAUAGAGGUGUUAUGAUCAGCACUACUAGUUGGAAUAGCUUCUACCCACUUAGUAACGUAAUCAACAACAACUAAAAUAUGUUUAUACCCAUUAGAGGAAGGAAACGGUCCCAUAUAAUCAAAGCCCCAAACAUCAAAUGGUUCAAUAACAAGUGAAUAAUUCGUAGGCAUUUCUUGACAUCUACUAAUAUUACAAAUUCUUUGACAUUCAUCACAAGACAAGACAAACUUACGGGCAUCUUUGAAGAGAGUAGGCCAAUAAAAACCGGAUUGCAAUACCUUAUGUGCAGUUCUAUCUCCAGCGUGGUGUCCUCCAUAAGCCUCAGAGUGACACUUGCACAGGAUCUGUUCCUAUUCAUGCUAAGGUACACAACGUACAAUAAAACCAUCUACUCCUUCUUUAUAAAGGUGUCAGUCAUCCCAAAAGUAAUGUCUUAAAUCAUAGAAGAACUUUUUCUUUUACUAGUAUGUGAAACUAGGUGGUAAAAAUUUAGCAACAAUAUAAUUAGCACAAUCAGCAUACCAUGGAGCAGUACGAGAAGCAUUUAUGACAGCUAGUUGUUCAUCAGGAAAGCUAUCAUCAAUAGGUAGUGGGUCAUCAAGAACAUUCUCUAACCUAGACAAGUUGUCUGCAACGGGGUUCUUAGCUCCCUUUCUAUCAAUAAUAUGCAAAUCAAAUUCUUGAAGCAAGAGAACCCAUCUAACAAGUCUAGGUUUAGCAUGUUUCUUUUCCAUAAGAUAUUUAAUAGCAGCAUGAUCAGUGUGAAUAGUUACUUUAGAAUCAACAAUAUAAGGUCUGAACUUAUCACAAGCAAAUACAACUACUAAAAAUUCUUUUUCAGUAGUAGCAUAAUUUCUCUGGGCACUGUCUAGAGUUUUACUAGCAUAUUGGAUAUCAUUUAAUUUCUUAUCAACUCUUUGCCCUAGAACAGCCCCUACAACAUAAUCACUAGCAUCACCCAUAAUUUCAAAUGGUAAAUUCCAAUCAGGAGGCUGAACAAUAGGUGCAGAAAUCAAAGCUUUCUUAAGUAUUUCAAAUGCUUCUACACAAUCAUCAUCAAAGACAAAUGGAACAUCUUUUUGUAAGAGAUUAGUCAGAGGCCUAGAAAUUUUAGAAAAGUCCUUAAUGAACCUCCUAUAAAAACCGACAUGACCAAGAAAACUUCUUAUACCUUUAAUGUCCUUAGGACACGUCAUCUUUUCAAUAGCAUCAAUUUUAGCUUUAUCAACUUCAAUACCUCUUUCGGAAAUUUUAUGCCCCAAGACAAUGCCUUCAUUAACCAUAAAGUGGCACUUCUCCCAAUUCAAGACAAGAUUAGUUUCUUCACAUCUAUGCAAAACUCGAUCAAGGUUGCUUAAGCAACCAUCAAAAGAAGUUCCAUAUACAAAAAAAAAUCAUCCAUGAAUACCUCAACAAUCUUUUCACAAAAGUCAGAGAAUAUAGCAGUCAUACAUCUUUGAAAGGUAGCAGGUGCAUGCAUAAACCAAAAGGCAUACGUCUAUAAGCAAAGGUACCGAAAGGGCAAGUAAAAGUUGUCUUUUCUUGAUCCUCUUUUGACACAGGUAUUUGAAAGAAACCAGAAUAACCAUCUAGAAAGCAAAAAUGUGUAUGUUUGGAUAUUCUUUCUAGCAUUUGAUCCUUUUUAGUAGCUUUCUUUAAUUUGCGGAAAAGAAUUACCAUUCUAUAACCUGUAACAAUUCUUUGUGGGAUCAAUUCAUCUUUAUCAUUAGGAACAACAAUAAUACCUCCCUUCUUAGGGACACAAUGGACAUGACUUACCCACUGACUGUCAGCAACGGGAUAAAUUAUACUUGCCUCCAGAAGCUUUAGUAUUUCUUUUCUUACCACUUCUUUCAUCUUAGGAUUUAACUGUCAUUGGUGAUCAACAACCGGUUUCGCGUCUUUCUCCAAUUUUAUUUUGUGCUGGCAUAGAGUGGGACUAAUGCCCUUAAGAUCAUCAAGAGGAUAUCCAAUAGCGGGAUGGUGCUUCUUCAAAGUUUUCAAUAAUUUCUUUUCCUCAUGCUUUGAAAGGUUAGCACUAAUAAUAACAGGAUAUUUCUCCUUCUCAUCAAGAUAAGCAUAUUUAAGAGUAUCAGGUAAAGUUUUAAGCUCAAACACGGGAUCACCCUUGGGUGGAGGAGGAUCCCCUAGAAUUUCAAUAGACAAAUUGUGUUUCAAAAUAGGUCCCUGUAUAAAGAAUACUUCAUCUAUUUCCCUUCAUUCAUAAACAUAUCAUUUUCAUGGUCUAGCAAAUAUUGUUCUAAAGGAUCACUAGGAGGCACGGCAAUAGAAGCAAGACCAAUAAUUUCAUCUUCACUGAGCAAUUCUUUAUCAUGGGGUUGUCUACGAAUUUUAGCAAAGUUAAAUUCAUGAGACAUAUCCCCUAAACCAACAGAAACAAUAUCCUUAUUGCAAUCUAUCUUAGCAUUAACAGUAUUCAAGAAGGGUCCAAGAAAAAUAAUGGGACAAAAGAUAUCUUGUGGGGAACCAAGAAGAAGAAAAUCAGUAGGAUAUUUAACUUUCCCACACAAGACUUCAACAUCUCUAACAAUCCCAACUGGUGAAAUAGUGUCUCUAUUGGCAAGUAUAAUAGUAACAUCAAUUUCCUCUAUCUCAGCAGGUGCAAUAUCAUGCAUAAUUUCUAUAUAUAAGGAAUGAGGUAUUGCACUUGCACUAGCACCCUAUCACAUAAGCCAUGAUAGCAAUGAUCUCCUAUUUUAACAGAAAUAACAGGCAUGCCUACAACAGGUCUAUAUUUAAUUUUGGUAUCGGGUCUAGCAAUUCUAGCAGCUUCAUCACAUAAGUAAAUAACAUGCCCAUCAAUCUUAUCGGCCAAGAGAUCUUUAACCAUAGCAACACUAGGUUCAACUUUCAUUUGCUCAGAGGGAGUAGGUGUUCUAGUAUUAGUCUUACGAACUACAGUUGAAGCUUUAGCAUGAUUCUUUAUUCUAGCAGGGAAGGGUGGUUUCUCAAUAUAAGUAGUAGGAACAGUAGGAUCAUUAUAAGUGAUAGUCUUUUCUUCAACUUUAAUUGGUGAAACUACUUAUAUUUAAACCACUUCUCCUUAGGAGAUCAACAUGAGUAGCAAAGGAUUCAUAGAAAUAAGUUACUAUCUCAGAGUCAAGUCCAUAUUUACUGCUAAAUUCACGGAAAGCAUCGGUAUCCAUAAAGGAUUUAACACAAUCAAACUUAGGUGUUAUACCUGACUCCUUAGCUUCGUCGAGGUCCCAAUCUUCAGAGUCGCGCUUAAUUCUUUCCAAUAAAUCCCAUUUGAAUUCAAUAGUCUUCAUCAUAAAAGAACUAGUACAAGAAGUAUCGAGCAUGGAGCGAUUAUCGAGAGAAAGCCGAGCAUAAAAUUUUUGAAUAAUAAUUUCUCUUGAGAGCUCAUGAUUGGGGCGUGAAUAUAACAUUGACUUAAGCCUCCCCCAAGCUUGAGCGAUGCUUUCUUCUUGGCGAGGGAAAAAAUUAUAUAUAUAAUUACGAUCACGAUGAACAAGAUGCAUAGGAUAAAACUUCUGAUGAAAUUCCAAUUUGAAUCGGCUGUAGUUCCAUGAUCCCAUAUCAUCACAUAGCCUAAAUCAUGUCAAUGCCUUUAACUUCAAAGAUAAAGGGAAGACCUUGUUCUUGAUAACAUCCUCGGGCAUACAUGCAAGCUUAAAUAAUCCACAAAAUUCAUCUAUAUAGAUUAGGUGCAAAUCAGGAUGCAAUGUUCCAUCUCCUGUAAAAGGAUUAGCUAGCAGUUUCUCUAUCAUAACCGAAGGAAUUUCAAAGUAAAAAUAUUAGUAGGUUCAGUAGGUUGAGGAGCAACUCUUUGCUCUACUGGUCGGGGUGAAGAUACCCCGAACAAGCCCCUCAAAGGAUUAUGUUCCAUAGUAACAAGUGACAGUAAAUUUCAGCACCCUAUAUAAAUUUUUUCUUACCAAAUUCCACUCACCAAAGGCGCUUCACUCCCCGGCAACGGCGCCAGAAAAGAGUCUUGAUGACCCACAAGUAUAGGGGAUCUAUCAUAGUCCUUUCGAUAAGUAAGAGUGUUGAACCCAACGAGGAGCAGAAGGAAAUGAUAAGCAAUUUUCAGUAAGGUAUUCUCUGCAAGCACUGAAAUUAUCGGUAACAGAUAGUUUUGUCAUAAGGUGAUUUGUAACGGGUAACAAGUAAUGAAAGUAAAUAAGGUGCAGCAAGAUGGACCAAUCCUUUUUUUAGCAAAGGACAAGCCUGGACAAACUCUUAUAUAAAGGAAAACGCUCCCGAGGACACGUGGGAAUUACCAUCAAGCUAGUUUUCAUCACGUUCAUAUGAUUCACGUUCGAUACUUUGUUAAUUUGAUAUGUGGGUGGACCGGUGCUUGGGUACUGCACUUCCUUGGACAAGCAUCCCACUUAUGAUUAACCCCUAUUGCAAGCAUCCGCAACUACAAUAGAAGUAUUAAGGUAAACCUAACCAUAGCAUGAAACAUAUGGAUCCAAAUCAGCCCCUUACGAAGCAACGCAUAAACUAGUGUUUAAUCUUCUGUCACUCUAGCAACCCAUCAUCUACUUAUUACUUCGCAAUGCCUUCCGCUAGGCCCAAACAAUGAUAAAGUGUCAUGUAGUCAAUGUUCACAUGGCACCACUAGAGGAAAGACAACAUACAUCUCAUCAAAAUAUCGAACGAAUACCAAAUUCACAUGACUACUUAUAGCAAGACUUCUCCCAUGUCCUCAGGAACAAACGUAACUACUCACAAAUAAUAUUCAUGUUCAUAAUUAGAGGGGUAUUAAUAUGCAUAAUGGAUCUGAACAUACGAUCUUCCACCAAUUAAACCAACUAGCAUCAACUACAAGGAGUAAUCAACACUACUAGCAACCCACAGGUACCAAUCUGAGGUUUUGAGACAAAGAUUGGAUAGAAGAGAUGAACUAGGGUUUGAGAUAAGAUGGUGCUGGUGAAGAUGUUGAUGGAGAUUGACUCCUCCCGAUGAGAGGAUCGAUGGUGAUGAUUUCCCCCUCCCGGAGGGAAGUUUCCCCGGCAGAACAGCUUCGCCGAAGCCCUAGAUUGGUUCUGCCAAGGUUCCACCUCGUGGCGGCGGAGUUUCGUCCCGUGAGCUUGCUUAUGAUUUUUUCCUGGACGAAAAACUCCAUAUAGCCAAAGAUGGGCAUCAGAGGGCUGCCAGGGGGCCCACGAGGUAGGGGGCGCGCCCAGGGGGGUAGGGCGCGCCCCCACCCUCAUGGAUGGUGGGUGGCCCCCUCUUGUACUUCUUUCGCCCAAUGUUUUUUAUAUAUUCUGAAACGUGCUCCCGUGAAGUUUCAGGAAUUUUGGAGUUGUGCAGAAUUGGUCUCUAAUAUUUGCUCCUUUUCCAGCCCAGAAUUCCAGCUGUCGGCAUUCCCUCUCUUCAUGUAAACCUUGUAAAAUAAGAGAGAAUAGGCAUAAGUAUUGUGAUAUAAUGUGUAAUAACAACUCAUAAUGCAAUCAAUAUUGAUAUGAAAUCAUGAUGCAAAAUGGACGUAUCACAUCCCCAAGCUUAGGCUCUUACAUCCUUCCUUCAUCCAUCGUAAGAUAACCCAAAAUUUGAAAACUUCAAUCACACAAAACUCAAAAAAGCCUUCGUGAUAUCCGUUAGUAUAAGAAUAAUAAACUACUACUAUAAGUGUUGUAUCAAACCAAUUCAUAUUUUGUUUUUGUAUUAUAUCUAUUGUAUUCCAACUUUUCUAUGGCAAAAACUCAUCAAAGAAAACCAUAGAGCCAUCAAAAUAAGCACACAACACAAAGAAAACAGAAUAUAUCAAAAUAGAACAGUCUGCAGCAAUCUGAUUAUUUUGAAUACUUAUGUAACUCCAAAAACUCUUAAAAACUAGGGAGACCUGAGUAAUCUGUAUAUUGAUCAACCGCAAGUGGAAUGGGUAUUUUAUCGCUCUUUGGUAAGAAAUGAAAAUUAAUUUUGUGAGCGUAAAAGUUUCUGUUUUUUAGCAAGAUCAAACAACUAUCACCCAAUAAGAUCCUAAAGGCUUUACUUGGCACAAACACUAAUUAAAAUAUAAAAAACACAAUCAUAACAGUAGCAUAAUUGUGCUAACACUCAAAAACAGGAAGCAAAAAAGCAAAAAUAAAAUUUAUUCAUUGGGUUGCCUCCCAACAAGCGCUAUAAUUUUACGCCCUUAGCUAGGCAUAAAGCAAGGAUCUAAGUUUUGUCAUCCUUCUUCUUCUUAGUUUUCUUAGAGGUGUUUCCGUCAUGAGGUUUUGUAAACAAAACAUAAAAAAUAUUAUCCAUGGAAACUCUAGCAUUCCUCAAUUGGUUUUCAUAAUAGCCCCUUUGAUUUCCUGCAACAAUCCAAGAGUAGUGUUGAUUAACAUUAUUAAAAACUUGUUGGAUUAUAUCUAGAACGGGGACUUCCUUUUUAAGAUUCUCAUCAAAGAUAUUAUUGUCCCCAAACAAAUGCCUUAGUGCGUAGUCACUAUUGUAAAGAAUUUCAUCUAUCACGGGUUUUUCACGAUUCAUACCAUCAAAAUCAAAGAUUUCCCAAGCUUCCCGAAUUAUGUAGUCAAACACGUUCAUAACAACGAGAGUGGCCAGCUUUUUAAACCUUAGGAUUCUUUAUUUCCGGAAGCUCAAAAAACAAUCUUUGCCAGGUAGGAUGAGUACGAAUAAAUUUACUUUCAAUUUUUAGAACUAGUGCUGAAACAACAUCUGCAUAAGGUCUAGUAGUUUUAAGUAUAGGAGUACUAUCAUCAAGACUUAGGUUUCCAACACAAUUGAAAAAUUCUUGGAUACGUUCUUUUUCCAUAACGUCCCCUUGCCCCAAGAUAAAAGUUUUACCAUCAAAAUUGCCUAUAUGUCCAAUCUUAGGAGUCAACCCAUCAUCUGUUGGUGCCAUAACGAAAUCACUCAUGAUUGCAAGCAAAGAAUAGAUCUGACAAGAAAACGGCGAACGGGAAAGAGAGGCGAAUAAAACGGCAAAAUUUUGUGAAGUGGGGGAGAGGAAAAUGAGAGGCAAAUGGCAAAUGAUAUAAAUUGCAAGGAGAUGAGAUUUGUGACUAGGAACCUGGUUAUGUUGAAGAUCCUCCCCGGCAACGGUGCCAGAAAUUCCUUUUGAUGUCACUUGAAGCUACGUCAGUUUUUUCCCCAAAGAGGAAGGGAUGAUGCAGCACAUCAGCGGUAGGUAUUUCCCUUAGAUAUGAAACCAAGGUUAUCGAACCAGUAGGAGAACCAAGCAACUAUUGUGGAAUGUAGUAAUUUCAAAAAAAAUUGUACGCACACGCAAGACCAUGGUGAUGCAUAGCAACGAGAGGGAAGAGUAUUAUCCACGUACCCUCGUAGACCAUAAGCGGACGUGUUAUGGGAACGCGGUUGAUGUAGUCAAACGUCUUCACGAUCCGACCGAUCCAAGUACCGAACGCACGGCACCUCCGAGUUCAGCACAUGUUCAGCUCGAUGACGUCCCAUGAACUCCGAUCUAGCAGAGCUUCACAGAAGAGUUCCGUCAGCACGACGGCAUGAUGACGGUGAUGAUGUUGCUACCGACGCAGGGCUUCGCCUAAGCACCGCUACGAUAUGAUCGAGGUGGAUUAUGGUGGAGGGGGGCACCGCACACGGCUAAGGGAUCAAUGAUCAACUUGUGUGUCUAUAGGGUGCCCCUUCCCCUGUAUAUAAAGGAGUGGAGGAGGGGGAGGGCCGACCCUCUCUAUGGCGCGCCCUAGGGGAGUCAUACUCCCACGAGGAGUAGGAUUCCCCCUUUCCUAGUAGAACUAGGAGCCCUUCCAAGUAGUAGGAGUAGGAGAGAAGGAAAGGGAAAAGAGAAGAGAAGGAAGGAGGGGGCGCCGCCCCUCCCCCUAGUCCAAUUCGUACUAAGCCUUGGGGGGCACGCAGCCUCCCAUCUCUGUUUUCCCUAAAGGCCAGUAAGGCCCAUAUACUCCCCGGCGAAUUCCCGUAACUCUCCGGUACUCCGAAAAAUAUCCGAAUCACUCGGAACCUUUCCGAUGUUCGAAUAUAGUCUUCCAAUAUAUCGAUCUUUAUGUCUCGAACAUUUCGAGACUCCUCGUCAUGUCCCCGAUCUCAUCCGGGACUCCAAACUACCUUCGGUACAUCAAAUCACAUAAACUCAUAAUACCGAUCGUCACCGAACUUUAAGCGUGCGGACCCUACAGGUUUGAGAACUAUGUAGACAUGACCGAGACUCGUCUCUGGUCAAUAACCAAUAGUGGAACCUAGAUGCUCAUAUUGGUUCCUACAUAUUCUACGAAGAUCUUUAUUGAUCAAACCGCAUAACAACAUACAUUGUUCCCUUUGUCAUCGGUAUGUUACUUGCCCGAGAUUCGAUCGUUGGCAUCUCAAUACCUAGUUCAAUCUCGUUACCGGCAAGUCUCUUUACUCGUUCCGUAAUGCAUCAUCCCGCAGCUAACUCAUUAGUUACAUUGCUUGCAAGGCUUAUAGUGAUGUGCAUUACCGAGAGGGCCUAGAGAUACCUCUCCGACAAUCGGAGUGACAAAUCCUAAUCUCGAUCUAUGCCAACUCAACAAGUACCAUCGGAGACACCUAUAGAGCAGCUUUAUAAUCACCCAGUUACGUUGUGACGUUUGGUAGCACACAAAGUGUUCCUCCGGUGAUCGGGAAUUGCAUAAUCUCAUAGUCAUAGGAACAUGUAUAAGUCAUGAAGAAAGCAAUAGCAGUAAACUAAAACGAUCAAGUGCUAAGCUAAUGGAAUGGGUCAAGUCAAUCACAUCAUUCUGCUAAUGAUGUGAUCCCGUUUAUCAAAUGAUAACUGAUGUCUAUGGUUAGGAAACAUAACCAUCUUUGAUCAACGAGCUAGUCAAGUAGAGGCAUACUAGUGACACUCUGUUUGUCUAUGUAUUCACACAUGUAUUAUGUUUCCGGUUAAUACAAUUCUAGCAUGAAUAAUAAAUAUUAAUAAUAACUUUAUUAUUGCCUCUAGGGCAUAUUUCCUUCAGUCUCCCACUUGCACUAGAGUCAGUAAUCUAGUUCACAUCUUUAUGUGAUUAGUUCACAUCUCCAUGUGACUAAUACCCAAAGGGUUUACUAGAGUCAAUAAUCUAGUUCACAUCGCUAUGUGAUUAACACCCAAAGAGUGACCAUGUAUUUCUUGUGAGAGAAGUUUAGUCUACGGGUCUGCAACAUUCAGAUCCGUAUGUAUUUCGCAAAUUUCUAUGUCUACAAUGCUCUGCACGGAGCUACUCUAGCUAAUUGCUCCCACUUUCAAUAUGUAUCCAGAUCGAGACUUAGAGUCAUCUAGAUCGAUGUGAAAAGCUUGCAUCGACGUAACUCUUUACGACGAACUCUUUUAUCAUCUCCAUAACCGAGAAAUAUUUCCUUAGUCCUCUAAGGAUAAAUUUUGACCGCUAUCCAGUGAUCUACUCCUAGAUCGUUAUUGUACUCCCUUGCCAGAAUCAUGCUAAGGUAUACAAUAGGACUAGUAAACAUCAUAGCAUACUUUCUAGAACCUAUGACUGAGGCAUAGGGAAUGACCUUUCAUUCUAUUUCUAUUUUCUGCUGUGGUUGGGUUUUGAGUCUUUACUCAACUUCACACCUUGCAACAUAGGCAAGAACUCCUUCUUUGACUGUUCCAUUUUGAACUACUUCAAAAAACUUGUCAAGGUAUGUACUCAUUGAAAAAUCUUAUCAAGCGUCUUGACCUAUCUCUAUAGAUCUUGAUGCUCAAUGUGUAAGUAGCUUCAUCGAGGUCUUUCUUUGGAAAACUCUUUUCAGAUACUCCUUUAUGCUUUCCAGAAAAUUCUACAUUAUUUCUGAUCAACACAUAUGCUUAUCAGAAAUGCUGUCGUGCUCCUACUCACUUUCUUGUAAAUACAGGCUUCACCGCAAGUCUGUAUAAAACCAUAUGCUUUGAUCACUUUAUCAAAGUAUAUAUUCCAACUCUGAGAUGCUUCCACCAGUCCAUAGAUGGAUUGCUGGAGCUUGCACACUUUGUUAGCACCUUUAGGACUGAUAAAACCUUCUUGUUGCAUCAUAUACAACUCUUCUUGAAGAAAUCCAUUAAGGAAUGCAAUUUUGACAUCCAUUUGCCAGAUUUCAUAAAAUGCGGCAACUGCUAACAUGAUUUGGACAGAGCUUUAAGCAUCGAUAUGAGUGAGAAAAUCUCAUCGUAGUCAACACCUUGAACCUGUCGAGAACAUUUUGCAACAAUUCGAGCUUUUUAGAUAGUAACACUACUAUCAGCAUCUGUCUUCCUCUUGAAGAUCCAUUUAUUCUCAAUGACUCACCGAUCAUCGGGCAAGUCAAUCAAAGUCCAUACUUUGUUCUCAUACAUGGAUCCCAUCUUAGAUUUCAUGGCCUCAAGCCAUUUCAUGGAAUCUGGGCUCAUCAUCGCUUCCUCAUAGUUCGUAGGUUCAUCAUGGUCAAGUAACAUGACCUCCAGAACAUGAUUACUGUACCACUCCGGUGCGAAUCUCACUCUGGUUGACCUACAAGGUUCGGUAGUAACUUGAUCUGAAGUUACAUGAUCAUCAUCAUUAGCUUCCUUACUAAUUGGUGUAGGAGUCACAGGAACAGAUUUCUAUGAUGAACUACUUUCCAAUCAGGGAGAAGGUACAGUUACCUCAUCAAGUUCUACUUUCCUCCCACUCACUUCUUUCGAGAGAAACUCCUUCUCUAGAAAGGAUCCAUUCUUAGCAACGAAUGUCUUGCCUUUGGAUCUGUGAUAGAAGGUGUACCCAACUUUCUCCUUUGGGUAUCCUAUGAAGACACAUUUCUCUGAUUUGGGUUUGAGCUUAUCAGGAUGAAACUAUUUCACAUAAGCAUCGUAACCCCAAACUUUAAGAAAUGACAACUUUGGUUUCUUGCCAAACCAUAGUUCAUACGGUGUCAUCUCAACGGAUUUAGAUGGUGCCCUAUUUAACAUGAAUGCAGCUGUCUCCAGGGGCGUUGCCAGGCCCAAGGCUACCUAGGUCGUGGCCUGGGGCGUGGUGGUGAAAACGUUCGUUGACUGUAGCUACAGUAAACACUGUAGCAACGAAGAUGGCCCGGGGCGUGUAGAUAUUCUGGCUACGGCACUGGCUGUCUCUAAUGCAUAACCCCAAAACGAUAGCGGUAAAUCAGUAAGAGACAUCAUAGAUUGCACCAUAUCUUAUAAAGUAUGGCUACGUUGUUCGGACACACCAUUACGCUGUGGUGUUCUAGGUGGCGUGAGUUGCGAAACUAUUUCGCUUGGUUUCAAAUGAAGACCAAACUCGUAACUCAAAUAUUCUCCUCCACAUUCAGAUCGUAGAAACUUUAUUUUCUUGUUGCGAUGAUUUUCCACUUUACUCUGAAAUUUUUGAACUUUUCCAAUGUUUCAGAUUUAUGUUUCAUUAAGAAGAUAUACCCAUAUCUUACUCAAAUCAUCCGUGAAGGUCUGAAAAUAACGAUACCUGCCGCGAGCCUCAACACUCAUCGAACUACAUACAUCAGUAUGUAUUAUUUCCAACAAGUCUGUUGCUCGCUCCAUUGUUCCAGAGAAUGGAGUCUUAGUCAUCUUGCCCAUGAGGCAUGGUUCGCAAGCAUCAACUGCUUCAUAAUCAAGUGAUUCCAAAAGCCCAUUAACAUGGAUUUUCUUCAUGCGCUUUACACCAAUAUGACCUAAACGGCAGUGCCACAAAUAAGUUGCACUAUCAUUAUUAACUUUGCAUCUUUUGGCUUCAAUAUUAUGAAUAUGUGUAUCACUAUGAUCGAGAUUCAAUAAACCAUUCACCUUGGGUGUAUGACCAUUGAAGGUUUUAUUCAUGUAAAUAGAACAACAAUUAUUCUCUGACUUUAAAUGAAGAACUGUAUUGCAAUAAACAUGAUCAAAUCGUAUUCAUGCUUAACGCAAACACCAAAUAACAUUUAUUUAGGUUCAACACUAAUCCCGAAAGUAUAGGUAGUGUGCGAUGAUGAUCAUAUCAAUCUUGGAACCACUUCCAACAUACAUCGUCACUUCACCCUUGACUAGUCUCUAUUCAUUCUACAACUCCCGUUUCGAGUUACUAAUCUCAGCAACUGAACUAGUAUCAAAUACUGAGGGGUUGCUAUAAACACUAGUAAAGUACACAUCAAUAACAUGUAUAUCAAAUAUACCUUUGUUCACUUUCCAUCCUUCUUAUCCGCCAAAUACUUGGGGCAGUUCUGCUUCAAGUGACUAGUCCCUUUGCAGUAGAAGCACUUAGUCUCAGGCUUUGGUCUAGAUUUGGGCUUCUUCACUUGAGCAGCAACUUGCUUUCCGUUCUUCUUGAAGUUCCCCUUUUUCCCUUUGCCCUUUUCUUGAAACUAGUGAUCUUGUCAACCAUCAACACUUGAUGCUUUUCUUGAUUUCUACCUUCAUCGAUUUCAGCAUCACGAAGAGCUUGGGAAUCGUUUCCGUUAUCCCUUGCAUAUUAUAGUUCAUCACGAUGUUCCAGUAACUUGGUGAUAGUGACUAGAGAACUCUGUCAAUCACUAUCUUAUCUGGAAGAUUAACUCCCACUUGAUUCAAGUGAUUGUAGUAUUCAGACAUUCUGAAUACAUGCUCACUAGCUGAGCUAUUCUCCCCCAUCUUGUAGGCAAAGUACUUGUCAGAGGUCUCAUACCUCUUGACACGGGCAUGAGUCUGAAAUACUAAUUUCAACUCUUGGAACAUCUCAUAUGCUCCAUGGCGUUCAAAACGUCUUUGAAGCCCAGACUCUAUGCCUAAAGCAUGGUGCACUAAACUAUCAAGUAGUCAUCAUAUCAAGCUCGCCAAACGUUCAUAAUGUCUUCUGCUCCUGCAAUCGGUCUGUCACCUAGCGGUGCAUCAAGGACAUAAUUCUUCUGUGCAGCAAUGAGGAUAAUCCUCAGAUCACAGAUCCAAUCUGCAUCAUUGCUACUAAUGUCUUUUCAACUUAGUUUUUCUCUAGGAACAUAUCAAAAUAAACAGGGAGCUACAUCGCGAGCUAUUGAUCUACAACAUAGUCAUGCAAAUACUAUCAGGACUAAGUUCAUGAUAAAUUAAAGUUCAAUUAAUCAUAUUACUUAAGAAUUCCCACUUAGAUAGACAUCCCUCUAAUCAUCUAAGUGAUUACAUGAUCCAUAUCAACUAAACCAUAACCGAUCAUCACGUGAGAUGGAGUAGUUUUCAAUGGUGAACAUCUCUAUGUUGAUCAUAUCUACUAUAUGAUUCACGCUCGACCUUUCGGUAUCAAUGUUCCGAGGUCAUAUCUGCAUAUGCUAGGCCCGUCAAGUUUAAUCCGAGUAUUCUGCAUGUGCAAAACUGUCUUACACCCAUUGUAGAUGAACGUUGAGCUUAUCACACCCGAUCAUCACGUGGUAUCUCGACACGACGAACUUUGGCAACGGUGCAUACUUAGGGAGAACACUUUUACCUUGAAAUUUUUAGUGAGAGAUCAUCUUAUAAUGCUACCGUCAAUCAAACAGACUAAGAAGCAUAAAGCAUAAACUUCACAUUCAAUCAAAAUAUGUGACAUGAUAUGGCCAUGAUCAUCUUGCGCCUUUGAUCUCCAUCUCCAAAGUACUGUCAUGAUCUCUAUCGUCACCGGCAUGACACCAUGAUCUCCAUCAUCUUGAUCUUUAUCAAUGUGUCGUCACAUGGUCGUCUCGCCAACUAUUGCUUUUGCAACUAUUGCUAUCGCAUAGUGAUAAAGUAAAGCAAUUACAUGGCACUUGCAUCUUAUACAAUAAAGAGACAACCAUAACCAGAACGAUAGUUCGUCAAGUUAGUGUUGUUUUAACCUUCUCAAGGACUGGGCGUAGCCACACUUGGUUCAACUAAAGUUGGAGAAACUGACACCCGCCAGCCACUUGUGUGCAAAGCACGUCGGUAGAACCAGCAUCGCAUAAGCGUACGCGUAAUGUCGGUCCGGGCCGCUUCAUCCAACAAUACCGCCGAACCAAAGUAUGACAUGCUGGUAAGCAGUAUGACUUGUAUCGCCCACAACUCACUUGUGUUCUACUCGUGCAUAUAAUAUCUACGCAUAAACCUGGCUCGGAUGCCACUGUUGGGGAACAUAGUAAUUUCAAAAAAAAUCCUACGCACACACAAGAUCAUGGUGAUGCAUAGCAACGAGAGGGAAGAGUAUCAUCCACGUACCCUCGUAGACCAUAAGCGGACGUGUUAUGGGAACGCGGUUGAUGUAGUCGAAUGUCUUCAUGAUCCGACCGAUCCAAGUACCGAACGCAUGGCACCUCCGAGUUCAGCACACGUUCAGCUCGAUGACGUCCCAUGAACUCCGAUCCAGCAGAGCUUCACGGAAGAGUUCCGUCAGCACGACGGCAUGAUGACGGUGAUGAUGUUGCUACCGACGCAGGGCUUCGCCUAAGCACCGCUACGAUAUGAUCGAGGUGGAUUAUGGUGGAGGGGGGCACCGCACACGGCUAAGGGAUCAAUGAUCAACUUGUGUGUCUAUGGGGUGCCCCCUUCCCCCGUAUAUAAAGGAGUGGAGGAGGGGGAGGGCCGGACCUCUCUAUGAGCGCCCUAGGGGAGUCCUACUCCCACCGGGAGUAGGAUUCCCCCUUUCCUAGUAGAACUAGGAGCCCUUCCAAGUAGUAGGAGUAGGAGAGAAGGAAAGGGAAAAGAGAAGAGAAGGAAGGAGGGGGCGCCGCCCCUCCCCCUAGUCCAAUUCGGACUAAGCCUUGAGGGGGGGGGGCGCAGCCUCCCAUCUCUCUUUUCCCUAAAGCCCAAUAAGGCCCAUAUACUCCUCGGCGAAUUCCCGUAACUCUCCGGUACUCCGAAGAAUACCCGAAUCACUCGGAACCUUUUCGAUGUCCGAAUAUAGUCAUCCAAUAUAUCAAUCUUUAUGUCUCGACCAUUUCGAGACUCCUCGUCAUGUCCCCGAUCUCAUCUGGGACUCCGAACUACCUUCGGUACAUCAAAACACAUAAACUUAUAAUACCGAUCGACACCGAACUUUAAGCGUGCAGACCCUAUGGGUUCGAGAACUAUGUAGACAUGACCGAGACUCGUCACCGGUCAAUAAUCAAUAGCGGAACCUAGAUGCUCAUUUUGGUUCCUGCAUAUUCUACGAAGAUCUUUAUCGUUCAAACCGCAUAACAACAUAUAUUGUUCCCUUUGUCAUCGGUAUGUUACUUGCCCAAGGUUCGAUCGUAGGUAUCUCAAUACCUAGUUCAAUCUCGUUACCGGCAAUUCUCUUUACUCGUUCCGUAAUGCAUCAUCCCACAGCUAACUCAUUACUUACAUUGCUUGCAAGGCUUAUAGUGAUGUGCAUUACCGAGAGGGCCCAGAGAUACCUCUCCGACAAUCGGAGUGACAAAUCCUAAUCUCGAUCUAUGCCAACUCAACAAGUACCAUCGGGGACACCUGUAGAGCAUCUUUAUAAUCACCCAGUUACGUUGUGACGUUUGGUAGAACACAAAGUGUUCCUCCGGUGAUCGGUAAUUGCAUAAUCUCAUAGUCAUAGGAACAUGUAUAAGUCAUGAAGAAAGCAAUAGCAGUAAACUAAAACGAUCAAGUGCUAAGCUAAUGGAAUGGGUCAAGUCAAUCACAUCAUUCUCCUAAUGAUGUGAUCCCGUUUAUCAAAUGAUAACUGAUGUCUAUGUUUAGGAAACAUAACCAUCUUUGAUCAACGAGCUAGUCAAGUAGAGGCAUACUAGUGACACUCUGUUUGUCUAUGUAUUCACACAUGUAUUAUGUUUCCGGUUAAUACAAUUCUAGCAUGAAUAAUAAACAUUUAUAAUGAUAUAAGGAAAUAAAUAAUAACUUUAUUAUUACCCGAUAAACAUUUAUCGGGUAACGGCGCCAGAAAUGGCAUGUGGACGGGAGAGAGUUGUAAAUAUUGAUAGAUCGAACACAAAAUAAAAUAAAUUGCGUGGUAUUUUUGGAUUUUUGGUUUAAUAGAUCUGAAAAUAAAGGCAGAUAAAAAUAGAUCGCGAAGGCAAAUAAUAUGAGAAAGAGACCCGAGGGCCGUAGGUUUCACUAGUGGCAUCUCUCGAGAAAAAUAGCAAACAUUGGGAAACAAAUUACUGUUGGGCAAUUGAUAGAACCUCAAGUAAUUAUGACAAUAUCCAGGCAAUGAUCAUUACAUAGGCAUCACGUCCAAGAUUAGUAGACCGACUCCUGCCUGCAUCUACUAAUAUUACUCCACACAUCGACCACUAUCCAGCAUGCAUCUAAUGUAUUAAGUUCAUGGGAAAAUGGAGUAAUGCAAUAAGAACGAUGUCAUGAUGUAGACGAGAUCCGUUUAUCUAUGGUGGUAGAUAUAGAUCCCAUAUUUUUAUCCUUAGUAGCAAUGAUACAUACAUGUCGGUUCCCUUUCUAUCACUGGGAUCAAGCACCGUAAGAUCGAACCCACUACCGGGCACCUCUUCCCAUUGCAAGAUAAAUAGAUCAAGUUGGCCAGACAAAACCCAAAUAUUGGGGAAGAAAUACGAGACUAUAAGAGAUCAUGCAUAAAAGGGAUAAAAGAAACUCAAAUACUUUUAUGGAUAUAAAAAGAUAGAUCUGAUCAUAAACUCAAAGUUCAUUGAUCCCAACAAACACACCACAAAAGAGUUACAUCAUAUGGAUCUCCAAGAGACCAUUGUAUUGAGAAUCAAGAGAGAGAGAUGAAGCCAUCUAGCUACUAACUAUGGACCCGAAGGUCUACAAAGAACUACUCACGCAUCAUCGGAGAGGCACCAAUGAAAGUGGUGAACCCCUCCGUGAUGGUGACUAGAUUGGAUCUGGUGGUUCUGGAAUCUACGGCGGCUGGAUGAAUAUUUCGUCGACUCCCCUAGGGUUUUGGGAAUAUUAGGGUAUUUAUAGAGCAAAGAGGCGGUCCGGGGGGCACCCGAGGUGGGCACAACCCAUCAGGGCGCGCCUGGGCCUCCUGGCGCGCACUGGUGGGUUGUGCCCCCCUCGGGGCACCCCCCCAGGCGCAGCCAGGGCCCGUUGUGUUCCUUUUGGCCCAUAAAAAUUCUUUGUUAAGUUUCGUGGCAUUUGGACUCCGUCUAAUAUUGAUUUUCUGCGAUGUAAAAAACACGGAAAAAACAGGAACUGGCACUUGGCACUAUGUCAAUAGGUUAGUACUUAGUACCAAAAAAUGAUAUAAAAUGACUAUAAAAUGAUUAUAAAACAUCCAAGAUUAAUAAUAUAACAGCAUGGAACAAUCAAAAAUUAUAGAUACGUUGGAGACGUAUCAGAGACAUGGAGUCUCCCUAUCUUAGUCCCUUACGAGUCUGGAAAUAAUGACCGGUGUCAUCAUUGACCUUUAUCCCGGCACUGCCUUUCUGUAUGAAUGAAUCCACUUGAGACCUCCAGGUAUCAUUGAGUCCCUUCAUACGUAAGGCUUGUAGGAAGGGCCAUUUGACCUUAUCAUAAGCUUUUUCAAAAUCCACUUUGAAGACAACCCCAUCGAGUUUCUUCAAGUGGAUUUCGUGCAAUGUUUCAUGUAGGACUACCACCCCUUCUAGGAUUUGUCGUCCUGGCAUGAAAGCAGCUUGAGUGGGUUGCACAACCGAAUGCGCAACUUGCGUCAACCUAUUCGUGCCAACCUUUGUAAAGAUCUUAAAGCUUACAUUGAGAAGACAUAUUGGUCUAAAUUGCUCAAUGCGAACGGCUUCCACCUUCUUUUGCAACAAUGUUAUUGUUCCAAAAUUGAGGUGGAACAAAUUUAGGUGGCCUUCAAAUAAAUCAUGGAACAUAGGCAUGAGAUCACACUUUAUGAUAUUCCAACAUCAUUGAUAGAAUUCGUCCGGGAACCCAUCUGGCCCGAACGCUUUAUUACGUUUCAUUUGUGUUAUGGCAUCGAACACCUCUUUCUUAGUGAACGGGGCAGACAACACCUCAUUCUCUUCUAAGUCGAGUUGUGGUAUGUCCCUGAUCACAUUCUCAUCAAGAGAGACAAAACUUUCUUCGGGUGCUCAGAAAAGUUUCUUGUAAUAUUCAGAAAUGUAUAGUUUUAGAUUCUCCUGUCCUACAAUUGUACCCUCAUCUUGUUCCAGUUGCAUUAUCUUUUUCUUCCUAUGCUUCCUGUUGGGGAUAUUACUGCUGGGCAUAAACCGGCUAAGAGAGGCCGGAUUAUCCCCAUAAUGAGUUAUUGUAUUUGAAGCCCAUGAAGACAAAGAUGGUGGCGCUUUAUGAAGACCCUGGGACCAAAGGCGGAUUAAGGUCUAUAGACCUAAACCGACAUUGAUAUGUAAACUUGUGAUGUAAGAUAGAAAGACUAGAGACCGAGCUAGACAUGUUUAUGAGUCGGCCUCGGGAUUCUGUAAACCAACGGGUGUCAACCUAUGUAUAUAAAGGGACGACCCGGCGGCGGUUUAGGGACAACAAACAAUAACUCGAGAGCCAGGCAAAGCGGAUUCGCUCCCUGGUCAUCGAACCCCAAGCAAUUCCAUCACAACUGGACGUAGGCUUUUACCUUCACCGUAAGGGGCCGAACCAGUAUAACCCCUUGCAUCCCUUGUCCGCUUUAACCCCUUUAAGCUAACCCGUAGCGAUGACUCCAUGACUAAGUCCUUUCACGAGGACAUCUGCCGUGACAAUUCCACGACAGUUGGUGCCCACCGUGGGGCUAUCGCACGAUGGUUUUGAGUUCUUGAAGGGCAUCUUCGAAGGACUCAAGGGAUACACUAUGGGCCGGAUGACCAAGAGUCGUCGCGGCAAGCUCUACAUCGAUGACGCAGGUUGGGGCCCCGAGGCCGGCUCGAUCGAGUACGGGUACCGGGUCCCCUUUGGCGGAAUACACGUCUUCAUUGGCAAUAUCGGUGAACCGGUCCCUGAGCUAGACAUCUGCACCGACAUCAUCGAGACGGCUCAGCGUGUGAGACCUGCUCGCAUUUGGCCUACCGUGAAACGUGCCUUCGUGGGAGUCAUCCACGGGGCAGAAUCUGAGGGUAGAUCGGUAUCUGGUGGUGAAACCGUCGUUUACUCUGAUGACGAAUCUUCAACCGAAGAAACCGAGUCACUGUAUCAGUUGCAUGAUGGCCGGAUUAGCGAUGGUUCCGAUGGCGACAGUAUUCCGGACCUCCUUGAACCGUCGAGCCGAGUUGCGACCUUCAUGGCCGGUACGCAAUCGGUGCAACAUUCUUCUACCGCCGCAAUGGUGAUUUCCGGUUCAGCAGCGGCAACACCAGCAGGAGCAGGGGGUUUUGCGCCACCACCGGCUCAGGUUUUGUCUGAUUUGUUCGAUGCUUUGGCAACAUUGCUAGCGGCGGAGGUUGACGCGGCAAACCAGGAUCAGCAUAACGCGGAGAUUGCAAAGGUAAAAGAUUAGAUAGCUCAAGCUAAGGCGGAUCUAGCAGCAGAGAAUACCAGGAUGGCCGCUGAGCAGGCCGGAUUAGAGGCACAAGCCUAUCGGCUUAUGCUGGACCAAAGUGCGUCAGAUGAUGUCAUGAGGAGACGGUACCAAUCUCACCUGCCGCCAAUUUAUGAGGGAAGAAACCUCUUUAACACGCCAGGGGCGGGCACCAGCAACCAGCCCGUGGUAAACCGGGCGGAGCCACCUGGAGCAGGGGCUUCGGUUUAGCCGCGCACGAUGGAUCCGCCCCCUCAGCCUCAUCAGAACGAUGUCCCAUCACGCACGUCUCAACGCCUCCGGGUCAUUACUCUAACCCGUUGGAUAACAUCGUUGCCGCCGCUUUGUGAUUGGCAGCUCUCCCGAUCGAUGGCGAGUCCCCAGUAGCAGUUGAAACACGACGGGCUAGGGAGCUCCUUUAGACGGCCUUGACUCAGUAGUAGGCUUAUUCAUAUAGCCGCCAAAGGAUUCAUUCUACUCCCCACCCGAGCCAGAGUUACAGCAGACUUAUGGAUGAACCGGUCGUAUCAAGCAGUGCAUGGAAUCGUAAUCCGCCCCGUGGUCAUAACCCGGCGGGUGGCGGUGGUGAUGCUCAGGAUGUGGUGGAUCGCGCUAGGGCACGUCGAGAGGCCGAGUUAGCGGCGCAGCAUGAAGCCCGCCAACUUACUCCGGUUCGUCCAACAACGUCGGUGGAACCAAGAGUUACCUCCAGUUCUUUAGGGGUACCGUGUCUCGGCCCAGCACUGUGCAAUGUACGGCUGCCCAAGGAUUUCAAAGGCCCACGUAAGGUGCCGAAUGACACUGCCGAUUUAUCCCCCGAGUCAUGGGUUGAAAGCUAUGAGAUGGCAAUGGAGAUGCUGGAUGUCGAUGAUGCAGCGUGUGCCAAAUACUUUACCAUGAUGUUGGAGGGAACAGCUCACACAUGGUUGAAAAACCUGCUGGCCAACUCCAUUGGUUCGUGGCCCGAGUUAAGGGCCCGGUUUAUCCAGAAUUUCAAGGAUACGUGCAAGCAGCCCAUGUCAGUUGUGGAUUUAGCUGCAUGUGUCCAGGAGGAAAGAGAGUCAACAACCCGUUGGGUGCGCCGGGUUUUGGAGAUUUUGCAUUCAUCAGACCGCAUCAACACUGAUACAGCAGUUUUAACAUUGGAAGGCAACUGCCGGUUUGCACCUCUAAAGUUGAAGUUGGGACGGCUCAAACGUCAUUGCAAUGACAUGGGAACGCUUAUGGCAGCUCUGGUGAAGUAUGCCAAUUUUGAUAGUACCAAGGACCCUGAGUCUGACGACGACAAGACAGGGAAGGGAAAGAAGAGCGGCAGCACCAAGGGGCAGCAGCAUAACCCGGCGGGUCACGGAAACAACGGUAAGCAUAAAGCGGAUAGUAGUCUAGAUUUUGUGGCUAAUACCAACGCGCAGGACAAAGGCCAACGUCGUAAGGGAAAACCUCCCCCGCAUGGUGGAGUACCAAGUCCCAAUCCGGAGCGCCUGUCUCACCUGUUAAACCAGCCUUGCCCGAAGCAAGGAUCGCGGGAUAAGCUGGCCACGCACCUCUGGAAGGAUUGUUAUAUUAUGCAGGAAUUCAAAAAUUCAGAUUUUAUUCAGUAUGAUCAUGGACCUAGCGGCGGUUCAGGCCCCGAAUCUCAUGGGCCGGGUUACGGUGGAGGCAGUUCCGGUUCAGGUUUUCACGGUAAUCAGAGCGGACAUGGCAAUCAAGGCAAUCAGGGCAACCAAGGUGGUUAUAAUCAUCAGGGGAAUCAGCAGCAACAGCAGCAGUAGGGUUACCAAAGCAACCCGAAGAAAUUGAAUAGUGGGCAGUACCAUGUCUUCACCACAAGUCUAUGCAGGCGCGAUCAGAAGCUUCAUAAAAGGGCAGUGAAUUCCGUUGAACUGGCAGUGCCCUGUUAUCUGCGCUGGUCUGAACAACCCAUCAUGUGGAGUCGAGAGGAUCAUCCUACCCGGGUCGAUAAUCCGGGUCAUCUAGCCUUAGUGGUGGCACCUCAGGUUGGGGGUACAAGUUCACCAAGGUACUCAUGGACGGAGGGAGCAGUAUCAAUAUCCUUUAUUAUGAAACCUUCCGUCGCAUGGGGUUGACAGAUAAUAAGAAUCUUAAACCGUCGAACACCGUCUUUCAUGGCAUGGUGCCUGGUAAAUCGGCGUACCCAGUUGGUAAGAUAGCUCUGGAGGUGGCUUUUGGAGAUGAGCAUAACUCGAGAUCAGAAACAUUUACCUUUGAAGUAGUAAAGAUCAAGAGCCCAUAUCAUGCCCUAUUUGGACGGCCGGCUUAUGCCAAGUUCAUGGCAAGGCCCUGUUAUGUUUAUCUGCAACUCAAGAUGCCGGGUCACAAGGGAACCAUCACGGUACAUGGAAGCCGUAAGAUCGCUUUGGAAUGUGAAGAAGGUGAUGCGGCUUAUGCUGAGUCAAUUUGUGCAACAGAAGAGUUGAAGUUCUACAAGGACAAUGUUGAUCCGACAGAUAUGACUUCGUUGAAGAAACCAACUACAGAGCAUGAUCUGUCCUUAAAGUUUAAAUCGGCUGACGAGACUAAGCUGGUUGACUUUGUUCCUGGCAAUUCAUCUCAGCAGUUUAGUAUCAGUGCUAACUUGGAUCCAAAAUAGGAAAGCGCGCUCAUCGAGUUCAUCCCUGAGAACUGGGACAUCUUUGCGCGGAAACCCUCUAACAUGACAGGUGUACCAAGGGAACUCGCUGAGCACACUCUUAAUAUUUGACCCCAAGUUUAAACCAAUUAAGCAAUUUCUCCGCCGGUUCAAUGAAGAAAGACGCAAGGCCAUUGGUGAGGAGGUAGCCAGGCUCUUGGCGGCUGGGUUUAUCAUUGAAGUAUUUCAUCCUGAUUGGUUAGGUAAUCUGGUGCUGGUACUUAAGAAGAACGGCACUUAGCGUAUGUGUGAGGACUACACAGAUUUGAACAAGGCUUGUCCGGCAGAUCCUUUUGCUCUCCCUCGUAUUGAUCAAAUCAUUGAUGCUACGGCGGGUUGUGAGCGUUUGAGUUUUUUGGAUGCAUACUCUGGUUACCAUCAGAUCAAAAUGGCAGUUAAGGACCAGGAGAAGACAACUUUUAUAACUCCUUUUGGAGCCUUCUUCUAUGUAUCUAUGCCUUUUGGGCUCAAGAGUGCCCAGACAACUUAUCAGCGCUAUGUGCAGAAUUGUCUUCAUAAUCAGAUUGGCCGCAAUGUUUAUGCUUAUGUGGAUGAUAUUGUGGUGAAAUCCAGAAAGAGGAGACAUUUAUAGAUGACUUGAAGGAGACCUUUUAUAACCUCCGGGUUUAUAAAAUGAUGCUUAAUCCAGCCAAGUGUGUCUUUGGUGUACCAGCAUGAAUGCUCUUGGGCUUUCUGGUGUCUAACAGGGGCAUUGAAGCUAAUCCGGAGAAAAUCAAGGCCAUAACCUCUUUGGCUAAGCCAAAGUGUAUCAAUGAUGUUCAACGCCUGGCAGGCCGGAUUGCAGCUUUGAGCCAGUUUAUCAAUCGCCUUGGGGAGAAGGCCAUCCCCUUAUAUCAGAUGCUAAAAAAGAUGGAUGACUUUGUUUGGAGUGAGGCACAAUGCAGCCUUUGAGAGUCUAAAGCGACAGCUAGCUGAGCCUCCUGUCCUUGCUGCUCCCGUUGAUAAAGAGCCCUUAUUGUUAUAUGUGGCUGCUAAUGCCCGGGAUGUUAGUGUGGCUAUUGUUGUGGAGCGCAAGGAGGCUGGAAAGGAGUGUUCGGUUCAACGACUGGUUUAUUACAUCAGUGAGGUGCUUAUUGAGUCUAAGAAGAGGUACCCACAUUGGCAGAAGCUGGUGUAUGGGGUCUUCAUGGCGAGCCAGAAGCUCAAGCACUAUUUUCUGGGUCAUCCUAUCACUGUGGUCAGUUUUGCCCCUUUGGGGGAUAUCAUCCAAAAUAGAGAAGCAACUAGCCGGAUUGCCAAAUGGGCUAUUGAGCUUGGACCUCACGGGUUAAAAUAUACGCCUCGCACAACAAUCAAAUCCCAAGCACUUGUGGACUUCAUCAAUGAUUGGCAGAGUUGCAGGCACCGGAGGAAAAACCAGAUAACACUUAUUGGACUAUUCAUUUUGAUGGGUCCAGACAGCUGGAAGGCUCGGGGGCUGGAGUCAUAUUAACUUCCCCACGAGGUGAUAAGUUUUGUUAUGUUCUCCGUUUAAUGUUCCCUUGCACUAACAAUGCAGCUGAAUAUGAGGCCCUGCUCCAUGGUCUUAGGAUGGCUAAGGAGAUGAAUUUAAGCCGGGUUAAAUGCUUUGGUGACUCGGACCUGGUGGCUCAACAGGUGUCUGGCACUUGGGAUUCCAAGGAUCCACUCAUGGCGUCGUAUCAACGAGAGGUGGACAUAGUAGCUGGUCAUUUCAAGGGUUAUCAGGUGGACCAUAUAGACCGGCAAAAAAAUGAAGUGGCGGACGCUUUAAGUCGCUUAGGCUCUCAACAUAAACCGGUGCCGCCUAAUGUCUUCCUGGAUGUGCUGCAUAAUCCAUCCGUCAAGAUACCUACAGAGGAGGAUUUGGUUGUUCCUGAUCCGGAGGCUCAAUUGGUGGUGGCUCUUCAUGUUAUCCCGGAUUGGACAAUCCCAUACCUGGCGUACAUGAACCGGGGCGAGUUACCAGACGAUGAAACUUUGGCCCGGCAGAUAAUCCAGCGAUCCAAGUCAAUGACCAUUAUCAAUGGGGAGUUGCACCACUCUAGCGUAACAGGGGCGUUUCAGCGUUGUGUGUCUCCUCAAGAGGGCUGUGAGAUUUUGCGUGAGAUCCACGAAGGAGAUUGUGGUCACCACGCCGGUUCAAAAUCCUUGGUAGCUAAGGCAUUCCAUCAUGGUUUUUACUGGUUGAUGGGUCAUGUUGAUGCUGAGGAUUUGGUAAAGAGAUGUGACGGUUGUCAGAAGUUUGCACGCCGCGCCCAUGUUCCGGCUCAAGAAUUAAGGAUGAUUCCAAUUACUUGGCCGUUUGCAACUUGGGGGCUGGAUAUGGUUGAGCCCUUUAAGAUGUCCAAGGACAAGAAGACCCACCUGCUAGUGGCGGUUGAUAAGUUUACCAAGUGGGUAGAGGCAGAGCCAGUCAGUAAGUGUGAUGCUGCCACGGCAGUUCAAUUCAUCAAAAAGGUGAUCUUCCAUUUUGGUUUUCCACACAGCAUCAUCACUGAUAAUGGUACUAAUCUGUCCAAGGGUGCUAUGGAAGAAUUUUGUCAACGUGAGCACAUCCGGCUUGACGUAUCAUCAGUGGUUCACCCCCAAUCUAAUGGUCAAGCAGAGAGAGCCAAUCAAGAGAUUUUGAGAGGCAUCAAGCCCCGGCUUAUGGUUCCUUUAAAGCGGACGCCGGGCUGUUGGGUUGAGGAGUUACCUUCCAUGUUAUGGAGCAUCAACACCACACCGAAUAGAUCUAUGGAUUACAUGCCCUUCGUCAUGGUUUACGGAGCAGAGGCGGUUCUCCCUAGUGACAUCCGUCAUAACUCGCCCCGUGUGGCGGCUUACGUUGAAGCUGAUAAUGAGAAAGCACGUCAGGACUCACUGGACCUGUUAGAUGAGGAGCGUGACCUUGCAGCGGCACGUUCGGCGAUUUAUCAACAAGAUCUGCGACGUUAUCACAACCGUUGGGUUAAGACCAGAACUUUUCAAGAAGGUGAUUUGGUGCUCCGGCUCAUCCAGGAUCAGAUUGAUAUGCACAAGUUGUCCCCACCUUGGGAAGGACCUUUUGUGGUCAGCAAAAAUCUGCACAACGGAUCAUACUACUGUCGGCAUUCUGGGAACGGGGGUCCCCAGACUUGCCUGUCUGCGGCCUGCGGCGUGGCUCAAAGGGGGCCCAGCACGGCCCAUCUUCAUCAACACGGACCCAAGACCCUCGCGAGGGGCCAAGCCUCGCGGGGCGGAUGACACGGAGCUUCCUCAGGCACGGCCUCAUCAGGCUAGCUCGUGAGGAGGCGGAGAAAUCAAGGCGGGGUACCUCACGAGGUGCCCGUGAUGCAAGCCAUGAAGACCAAGGGUGCCAGGCGGGCGCCAGCCCGCGCAGUCCUCCUUUCCUCUUUGGUGCAAAGGGAGCAAGCGCAGGCGAGAGCAUCAAGCAAAGGCACCUGUUUCGGUGCAACGAGACCAAGACCAACCCAACGGUAGUGAGGAAGUCAUUGUGGAGUCCAAGCCAGCGUCACCACCAGAGUCUUUGGCAGGCGAGGACCAACUUUAGUCAGGAUAAGUGUACCCGAUGUUCCCCUUCAAAAUGGCCAAUUGUUGGCGCCCUUCCCGCUCAAUAUUUGGAAAGAGGCCCAGGGCCUUUGCCUAUAAAUAGGACUAGCCACCCCUAGAGGAGGGGGGAUGAGAUGCGAUCAGGUAGAUGAGACCAGGGAUAAGAUCAUAGCGGCAAGAGAGAGAGAGGGAAGGGUGACUGAACUCCUCCUAGCAGUUCAUCCCCCCAGCCAAGAACAGACCCUCGCGAGGCUGUUCUUCCUUGUAUUGCUCAUCAUCAUCAGCCCAAGAGGCAAUCCACCAAACCACACUGGAGUAGGGUAUUACACCACAACGGUGGCCCGAACCAGUAUAAACCCUGUGUCUCUUGUGUUGUUCUUUCCAUAGCUUAGAUCUUAGCGAGGCGGUGGGGUGCAGGUAGGUAGAAGGCGAAAUCUCCACGCGCACCCCAGUGUUCGAACCUCAAGGGUCUGCCGGAACCCGAAACCUGACAUUUGGCGCGCCAGGUAGGGGUGCACCGGAGUUUCCCCUUCCGCCACCACCACGACCUGCCCCGCGAUGAGUAGCGCGUCGCCCGCUCCGGCCGCCGACGCCAACAUGGGGGCCAGGGGGCUCCGAGCCCUGGCCCCAGCUCUGCAACGAGUACGGUGGCCGGACAAGUUCAAGCCAACGACGCCGCCGCGCUACGGCGGCGCGAUUGGUCCGCUGGCCUUCUUGCUGGCGUACAAGGAGGCCAUCCUCGAAACCGGAGGUGAUGAUAGGGUCAUGGCCAACUGGCUUCCCAUGGCCCUGACCGGCGCUCCGCGCGCAUGGCUGCUCCACCUACCGGUAGCCUCCGUGGCCUCUUGGGAGGAGCUCCGCGGCCUCUUCCUCGCCCACCAUGCUACACCAACACCCCCGGUCGUCGAGGCCCUCCUGGGCGGCUCGCAGGAGCCGCCUACAAGUCACCACAUCAAGCCGUUCAUCCGCCGGGUCAGCACCGCUUCCACGCGGCAGGGGGCUCUCCCGGAUCGGGCGGCGUCUAAGGCUAGUCUGACCUUCAGCUCGGAGGACCACCCCUCCAACUCGGCCUGCUCGGGUGCGCUCCCCAUGCUGUGCACCCCCACCAUCUGCCAGGUGGCCGUCACCAGAACUCUCAUCGAUGGCGGCGCGGGCCUCACCGUGCUCUUGGUUGAGGCCUUCAGCCUCCUUUGCAUACCCCUGGAACGGCUGCAACCCAACCGGCCCUUCUCAGGCAUUGGGGGCGGGUCAUCUAGCUCCUUGGGACAGAUCCGGCUCCCAGUAACCUUCGGCACCUACGACAACUUCUACACGGAGCUGAUCGACUUCGACAUCGCCCCCAUCGGCCUCCCCUACAACGCCAUCCUCAGCUAUCCAGCGCUGGCCCAGUUCAUGGCCGCGACGCACCCGGCGUACAACCUCAUGAAGAUGCCCGGGAGCAGCGGUGUCCUCACCAUGCACGGGGACACCGGAGACGCGCUGCGAGUGCUCAAGCUCGCCUACAAGACGGCGGCGUCGGCACAGCCCGCCGACUCGGAGACCCCCGAGCCCAAGGGGGCUGCACUCGCCAAGAAGAAACAGUUGUUCACCGAAGACAAGGCAGAAACCAAGCAGAUACCCGUCGAUGAGGACGGGUCCACCAACGCCACUUUCACCAUAGGCGCCAACCUUGAGCCCGAGCAGGAGAAGACCCUGGUCAAGUUCCUGCACGCGAACAAGAAGGUAUUCGCUUGGGAGCCUGACCAGUUGGCGGGGAUCCCUAGGAGCGUAAUCGAGCAUCACCUCAACGUGUGCCCCAACGUGCGCCCUGUGAAGCAGAAGGCAAGGCGGCAGUCCACAGAAAAGCAGGCCUUCAUCGUCCGAGAGACCCGCAAACUAGAAGCCGCUGGGGUCAUUCGCGAGGUCCGAUACCCGGAUUGGUUGUCCAACCCUGUCGUUGUGCCAAAGAAGGGAGGGAAGGAGUGCAUGUGUGUCGACUUCACCAACCUCAACAAGGCAUGCCCGCAAGAUCCGUUCCCGCUCCCCCGCAUCGACCAGAUCGUCGAUUCAACCGCAGAAUGCGACCUGCUAUGCUUCCUGGAUGCCUUCUCUGGGUAUCACCAGAUCAAGAUGGCGAUAGAAGACGUCGAAAAGACAGCCUUCCUAACCCCGUGUGGGGUGUACUGCUACACAUGCAUGCCCUUUGGGCUGCGUAACGCCGGGGCGACCUUUCAGCGGCUGAUGCACAUCACCUUGGGCCCGCAGCUCAGGAAGAAUGUUGAGGCUUACGUCGAUGACAUUGUGGUGAAGUCUCGGGAGGUCAGGACCCUGAUACAAGACCUGGAGGAAACCUUCGCGAGCCUCAACGCGGUGAACCUGCGGCUCAACCCAGAGAAGUGUGUGUUCGGAGUCCCCUCAGGCAAACUCUUGGGUUUCCCCUUGUCCCACCGAGGCAUCGAGGCUAACCCGGAAAAGGUCAAGGCGGUUGAGGACAUGAGCCCGCCAAAGACCCUCAGAGAAAUGCAGAAGCUCACUGGGCGCGUGAUCGUGCUAGGGCGAUUCAUCUCCAAGUUGGGGGAGCAAGCGCUGCCCUUCUUCCAGCUAAUGAAGAAAAAGGGGCCCUUUGAAUGGACCGAAGAGGCUGACAAGGCUUUCCAAGAUCUCAAGAGAUACCUGACCAGCCCUAUGGUCAUGGUGGCUCCGCGCCCUCAAGAGCCCCUGGUGCUUUACCUCGCCGCCACUCCCUACUCCGCCAGCGCAGCCCUGGUGGCGGUUAGGGAGGAGCGUCGAAUCAAAACCACAGUAGCAGCCCGGGACAAGGCAAAACAGGGACAAGGAAGGCCCACAGAAACCACCACCGCGGCUGAGGAGGAUCAGCCGCCGCAGAGGAGUGCACCGGAGGUGAAAGAGGCCCCUCUCCCAGAUAGCCAUCCUCCGGAGGCCUCAUCGCCUCAGGAGGCGCCAUGGUCUCUGGAGGGCGCCACCAGCACUGACGCACCCAACCUCAUUGAGCACCCAGUGUACUUCGUCAGCAUGGUGUUGCGGGACGCGAGGGCACGGUACCCCAUGCCUCAGAAGCUCCUCCUCGCGCUACUGGUGGCCUCGCGCAAGCUGCGGCACUAUUUUUAGGGUCACCCCAUCAAGGUCGUCUCGUCAUACCCCUUGGAGAGAGUGAUCAGGAGCCCUAACUCAGCCGAAAGGGUCGCUGAGUGAAACAUAGAACUGCAAGCAUUUCAGCUUGAAUUCAGCACGACCAGAGUCAUCAAGGGAGCAGCAUUAGCUGAUUUUGUGGCAGAAUGGACGGAGGCACCAGGCCUCAAGGCCGACAAGGAUCGAUCCCUCUCCCUGGGAAGCGAGGCGCCAGAAGGUUGGGUCAUGUACUUCGAUGGGGCGUUCUCCAGGCAUGGCGCUGGAGCUGGGGCGGUGCUUAUAUCGCCCACUCAGGACAAGCUCUACUACGCUGUACAGCUCUGUUUCCAGCAAGGUGAAAAGGUCUCCAACAACAUAGCGGAGUAUGAAGGUCUAAUAGCGGGCUUGAAGGCCGCAGCUGCCUUGGGGGUGAAACGCCUCACCAUCAAGGGUGAUUCGCAGCUCCUUGUCAAUUUCUCCAACAAGGUGUACGAGCCGAAAGAUGAGCACAUGGAAGCCUACCUUGCGGAGGUCCGCAGGAUGGAGAAGCAGUUCUGGGGGUUGGAGUUGCAGCAUGUGCCCCGUGGCACCAAUCAGGAGGCCAACGACAUCGCCAAAUGGGCGUCCAAGCAGUUGCCUCAGGAGCCUGGUGUCCUCGAGGAGUGACUCUUCAGGCCCUCGACCCUGCCGUCAUUGUCAAACACGGCUCAGCCUCGGGAGGAGCUCCCCCAGCCACCUGCUUCAGGAGCCCCGGUCUGUGGCCCGGCCUCAGGAGCACGCCUGCUCCUGAUGAUGGAGCCUCAGGAGGGGGACUAGAUCACAGAACUCUGGAGUUACUUAACACAAGGGACCCUGCCGGAGAAGGAGGAGGAGGCGGAGCGUGCGGCACGGCUGGCCACGACAUAUUGCAUCAAGGAUGGAGAGCUCUACCGGAAGCGACCAAACGAUGUAUCCCUGCACUGCAUCUCCAGGGAGCAAGGAAAGGAGCUGCUGGAAGACAUACACGGCGGAGACUGUGGACGUCCUUCAUCAUCACGGACCCUGGUCGGCAAGGCGUUCCGCAGUGGGUUUUACUGGCCCAUCGCACUCAAUGACGCCAUCGAACUGGUGAAGGCUUGUGAGGCCCGCCAGUUCCACGCCAAGUAGAUCCAUCGGCCGGCAGGAGGCCUGCAGACUAUACCCCUUUCGUGGCCGUUCGAAGUCUGGGAGCUAGACAUCCUGGGCCCGUUUCCUCGGGCGCCCGGGGGCUACCGCUACCUCUACGUCGCCGUGGACAAGUUCACCAAGUGGGCUGAAGUAGAAGCCGUCCGCACCAUCCCCGCGGGUUCUGCGGUCAAGUUCAUCAGGGGCAUCGUGCGCCGGUUCGGGGUGCUGAACCGCAUCAUCACAGACAACGGUUCGCAAUUCACCAGUAACCUCUUCAAAACAUAUUGUGCUAACCUUGGAACGCAGAUAUGCUACGCUUCGGUGGCACACUCCCGAAGCAACGGUCAGGCCGAGCGAGCCAACGCAAAGGUCCUGAGGGGCCUUAAGACCAGGACAUUCAAGAAGAAGCUGGAGGCCUGCGGCAGAGGUUGGUACGAUGAGCUUCAGUCCGUGCUGUGGUCCAUCCGCACAACCGCGACCAAGCCGACUGGAGAGACCCCGUUCUUCCUGGUCUACGGAGCCGAAGCAGUCCUCCCUCACGAGGUCAGAUGUUGCUCCGCAUGGGUCCUGGCGUUCGACGAGGCGCAGCAGGACGCCAUGCGGGGGAUGGACCUCGUGCUGGGGGAGGAACAUCGCCAAGAAGCCGCGCUGCGAGCGGCGAGGUACCAGCAAGCACUGCGACGAUACCACUGCCGCAACAUCUGCCCCAGAACUCUCGAGGUAGGAGACCUCGUGCUCAGGCAGGUUCUCUUAGGGAGGGACUGCACAAGCUAUCUCCCAUGUGGGAGGGCCCGUUCAAGGUUGUUCAUGUUUCCAGGCCUAGCUCCGCGCGCUUGGAGACUCAGGAGGGGGUGCCGGUUCAGAACGCAUGGAACAUCCAACACCUCCGGAGGUUCUACCCUUAAAAAGGCCCAGAGCCUAUGAAGAAGGCGAAUGCCUGUGAAGCUGUCGCGUCUUGGAAAAGGCCCAGAGCCUGUGAAGAAGGCGAAUGCCUGUGAAGCUGUCGCGUCUUGGAAAAGGCCCAGAGCCUGUGAAGAAGGCGAAUGCCUAUGAAGCUGUCGCGUUUUGGAAAAGGCCCAGAGGCUGUGAAGAAGGCGAAUGCCUGUGAAGCUGUCGCGUUUUGGAAAAGGCCUGGAGCCUGUGAAGAAGGCGAAUGCCUGUGAAGCUGUGGCACUUUGGAAAAGGCCCGGAGCCUGUGAAGAAGGCCAACGCUUGUGAAGCUCGCCGCCCGUGAUACUCUCACGUAAUAAUGAGUUGGGGCUGUACAUGCCCCGGAGUCUCAGGUGCGCUGGCCUCAGGCCCUGGGGCUCCCUCCCACACCUAGUGGCAGCACUUAGCUCCGCGCUGGUGAGAAGACAUCGAAGACUAGAUUAGGUGCUGGACGCGGCUUUUUCAUUUGCUUUCCACAGUUGGCUUGUUCAUUCUCAUCCGAAGUUUUGUUGAAGCUGUCGCCGUCUUUGACUUGUGGUUCUUUGACUUUUCACUCUCCUGCCUCGAUUUCUCUUAUGCAAGGCCUCGCGAGGGGGGCAGCCGAGCGCCCUCGUGAGUGUUUCCGUCCUAUUCGUUCAAAGGUUUCGCGACCUGGGUCCAUUACAGGAGCACCCCUCCAGUCUGUGCCCCACAGGCACCGCGACACGAUCAAAGGGCCUGGGUCGGUCGCCCCCCCAUGGCUGGGGCCGGGAACUAUCUACGCGCGCCACGUAGCUGAAGUUACGAUAACGGAAGCAAAGCGAUGAUUAACAGCAAUAACCCAAACACGCCCCCGCGGGGCUCCACGCUACUGUCUUUUUACGCAGGAAAAAGGAAAAGAAAGAGCAAAUCAGGCACAGCUCGCCUCACACUGGCCUGCAGGGAAGACUCGGGCUGCCUCCGGGGCUCAGGCAGACUCCCUCUCGCGCUUCACCGAGGCGCGACGACGGGCAGGCGCGCUACCACCUUCCAGGUAGGUAUGAUGGCGUGGAGGCUGAUCGCGGCCACCGCUAGAAGAGUCGCUGCCUGAAGAAGAAGGAGAAGCAAGGGGGGAUGAACUGGAAGGGCGCGUGCCGUUCCGUACUUAUAGCUGGCGAAGGCCAAUCGUCGACCUCCACGAUCGCAGGUAAUCAUGACUCGCUUUGCAUGCAGGGACUUGUCCGAUCCAUGCAGUUGCCGAGGCGCCGUGGGGAAGUGGAGACGCCCACGUCCAAUCAACUGCCACGCGGCGCCCAAGGCCGCAGGCUGUUAGGGCCCGCGGCGCUUCGCUCUUGCCCUUUCGCCUCCCAGCACGGCCAAGUCCGGGCGCACCUUGGGCCCAGGGGCUACUGUCGGCGUUCUGGGAACGGGGGUCCCCAGACUUGCCUGCCUGCAGCCUGCGGCGUGGCUCAAAGGGGGCCCAGCACGGCCCAUCUUCAUCAACACGGACCCAAGACCCUCGCGAGGGGCCAAGCCUCACGGGGCGAACGACACGGAGCUUCCUCAGGCACGGCCUCAUCAGGCUAGCUCGCGAGGAGGCGGAGAAAUCAAGGCGGGGUACCUCACGAGGUGCCCAUGACGCAAGACAUGACGACCAAGGGUGCCAGGCGGGCGCUAGCCCGCGCAGUGUCCUCCUUUCCUCUUUGGUGCAAAGGGAGCAAGCGCAGGCGAGAGCAUCAAGCAAAGGCACCCGUUUCGGUGCAACGAGACCAAGACCAACCCAACGGCAGGGAGGAAGUCAUUGUGGAGCCCAAGCCAGCGUCACCACCAGAGUGUUUGGCAGGCGAGGACCAACUUUAGUCAGGAUAAGUGUACCCGAUGUUCCCCUUCAAAAUGGCCAAUUUUUGGCGCCCUUCCCGCUCAAUAUUUGGGAAGAGGCCCAGGGCCUUUGCCUAUAAAUAGGACUAGCCACCCCCAGAGGAGGGGGGAUGAGAUGAGAUCAGGUAGAUGAGACCGGGGAUAAGAUCAUAGCGGCAAGAGAGAGAGAGAGAGAGAGAGAGAGAGAAGGGUGACUGAACUCCUCCUAGCAGUUCAUCCCCCCAGCCAAGAACAGACCCUCGCGAGGCUGUUCUUCCUUGUAUUGCUCAUCAUCAUCAGCCCAAGAGGCAAUCCACCAAACCACACUGGAGUAGGGUAUUACACCACAACGGUGGCCCGAACCAGUAUAAACCUGUGUCUCUUGUGUUGUUCUUUCCAUAGCUUAGAUCUUAGCGAGGCAGUGGGGUGCAGGUAGGUAGAAGGCAAAAUCUCCGCGCACACCCCAGUGUUCGAACCUCAAGGGUCUGCUAGAACCCGAAACCCGACAACUACCUUAUCGAUGUUCGAGAGCAUAAAGACUCACGUAAAUAUAGCUCAUCUUUGGCAUUACAUUACUUGAGCCACAGGCUCUUCUUAUGUACAUAGUUAUGAUAAUGUAUAUAUUAUGAUCAAUAUAAUAAACCAACGCCUCAGCUAAAGCGGGGUAUCCGUUGUCUUCUUAUAUCAUGUGUGGCUACAUGGGGGCUUUUGUUCAUAAAGCGGAGUCCGGUUUACCCCUUGAUUCAUCUUAUACAGCUUUAUAUAAAAAAAUCACUUGGGGGCUUGGUCGUAUUCGAACCAUAGCUACACCUCUUGAUCGGCUCAAAGCCAAAAGGAAAAUUACUUAGGGGCCAAAGAGAGUGUUGCAAAAGAACAACUCAAACAUAGGCACCCACUGAGCACAGCUCAAAAUAUUGCUUGGGGAUUCUUUGCUUCGCAAUGAACACAGAAUCUACACUUGUAAUAGGCUAUCAAGCCAUGGCUUGGAAGCCUGGUGUAUACACCUAAAACCCCGGGUUAGCCUACCUUUUUAAGUAAGCCACUCCGUCCAGGUAAACCUGGUAUGACCCGUCAAACUUUUGACAAGUCAAUCUCAUAGACCCUAAACUUGUCAAAGUUAAAACGACGAUUGGUUAAAGAUUGAGGUCCAUCUUAAAAGGCUUUGUAAAAUGGUUUAACUCAGCGGCCUGUAGCCCAUGAAAAGCCUUGAAUUUGGGGCCUGGAAGCCCAUGAAAAGCCUCGAGUACAAAGUUUUCACAUGCUUUUAUUUGCAAAAAAAAAUUCUCUUUUGAUGAGAUUUAUUAUGGUUUUGAUAAACCGGCGUUCCUUGAUCCGGUUCAAUUUUCAAAUACAAGUUGCCAGUGCAUGAUCAAGCAUAAAUCCGGUGCUUAUUAACACGGUCUGGUUUUCGAUUACAAAUCGCCAGUGUUACAUACGGAUAAUCCGGUGUUUUUCAUAAAUCAGUACAGUUUUAUCAUAAACCGACACAAUGUGGAAGGAGUUAUCAGUACUCAUGAUUGGGGUUGUUGCCAUCACUACAAAAGUUGGUCAACCAGCAUUGUGAUUCAAUGUCACAUGUAUCAUUUAUUUUCAUAUUUGAUUAUCUUUUUAUAGCCUUGGUUAUCAAUCCAUAGGACAUAUGUUUGGGCAUCAUGACCCGUCCGGUGAUAAACCGCCCAGACACUUUCAAAUUUCUUAUAUGCAGGAACAAUUUAAAUAGCACCGCUACGGAUUAUGAACAUAAUAUCUCCUAAAGCAUGGUGGAUUCACAAUAUCAGGCAAAAAAAGUAUGCACGAUGGCAUAGCAGACCAAGUGUUUUCAACUAGCCUAUUACAAGGCGUUUUAAUGCCCAACAGAAUAAUUGUUUUCGGCAAAGGUGGCAGUACGCCGAAUGCUAAACCGGUCUCCAGAUUAUGACUCGUCACCAGGCUGAGUUGACAGCUGCGGAUCGUCCUGCGCUGGUGCAUCUUCCUCCCCUCUACCUAGUGGCUGGAAGUCAAUGGUUGCCCAAUUGAUUCCAGUUAAGGCUUGGAACACAGCUUCGUCACUUAUAAGGUUUGAGGGGUCAACAUCAGGGGCAUAGGUGUGCUUACGGAUUGGCGGAAUAAGAUCUUCUACAUCAUGUGUCGGCGCAGGAUAUCUUUUCUGAUCAGAAUCAUAAACCGGCUGAUAAUGAGAGAGAUCUGUUUCAUCAGCCAAUUUUCUCGCUAUGGGGCGCAUUUCCCUCGUCAGCCUUCGAAGAUCAUCAUUGUUAAAUUCUGAGCCAUCUUCCUUCACGCUAGGGUAGCCGCGGCCUAUAUCUAACAGUUCAAGAUCUGGUAUCCGUGCCUUCGCCCGGAUUAGCGCGGUCAGCGCACCUGACCUGGCAGCUGAUCUUUUUAGUUUGUCCAACCGGGCAGGCAACAUAGAAAGCUUCUCAAUGAUCUCUUUUAUUAAGGUUGGAGGCGGUUUAUUAUGCGCAGCGGUGCAAAUGGCCCAUUGAGCUCUAGAAUAUAGCUGCUCUAUCAGUGUAUAGGCAGCCUUCAGCUUCAUCCGUAUGUCAGAGACCAGAUGGGUAAUGCGAGUUCCUGUGUCAUUACAAGCAUCAGUAAUCGGCAACCGAUGAGAUAAUUUAUAUUGAAAAAGCUUCAGGUGAGGUACUUACCAAAAACAGCAGCCGUCAUGGCAUUGAUCUGCCGCUUUAAACCGGUCAGCUCUUCCACCACCGGUUUAAGAGCUGCCUCCACGUCUUCGGCUCUCUUUUGUAAAGUGGUUUUCUCUAUGUCCCAGUCUGCCUGUUCCUUCUUCAAAGAUUCUUUCAGCUUCUCCAUGGUUGCUAAGGCACUAGCCAGUUCUUCUUUGGCUUUGGAGGUCUCUGCUUGCUGGGUUUUGAUAUUUUCUUGCAGGUCAGCGAUUUGGGCUUCCUUUUUGCUCAGCUUAGCCUAUAAGAGACAAACAUGUUAUGCGAUGGCAAUGAAAUUUGGAAGUCCCAAGCGCAUAACAAGUUAUACACUUGGCACUUGGGGGCUAAUGCCUAUUUUCUUGAUUCUCAGAAUUUUUUUAACAAGUCCCAAGCACAAUACAAGUAUUAUUCUUGACACUCGGGGGCUAAUGUAUGUUUGCUCAAAGUAACACUGGUUAAAAGUGCCGGUUCAGCUUGGAAAGAUAAAUCAGCCCUUGGGGACUACACUGAUGAAAGUUUCAAUAUUAUAAAUUAAAAGUACCAGUUCAUCCCAAAAGAUAAACCGGCCCUUGGAAUAUAAGCAUGAAGAGUUGUGAUAUUGCAAAGUCCCAGUUUAGAUGGGCGCCAUAAAUCGGCCCUUGGGGGCUACUGGAGUUGGUACUAAAAAUUUGGACAUAAAAGAGAAACAGUUAUGAAGUUACCUCAUAUCGCUCCUUCAUCAGAUUCACUAAACUGGCUUCGUAGUCACGGUUAGUGUAUAGACGGUUUAAGAAACCAGAAUGAAGUUCUUGGGCGUUGAGGUGGGCAUAGCUUGACAAGUGUGUGCUCCACUUUCCUUUGCCCAUAGCAGAGAGUUCCUCCUUGGCACUAUGGUUUGACAAUGCAACAUGAUUGCCAGGGGUGGUGUGGCCAACACCAGUAAUUAUAACAUCAUCUUCCUUGUCACCAACAGCCUUUACCGGAGUCGACGAUUCAUGAGCAGCCUUAAAGGGACUUGACGGUCUAUUAUCAGUUGGGACCGGGCUUGCCGGUUUAUCAAUAUGACCUGUUACAUCAACUUCUGCUUGUUCAACAAAAUCAUGGUCCUCAAGGGGUGGAUCAUCAGGCAUGGCAUCAGCAUUGGUUCUUUCCAAUUCUGAAGUUCCCUCCGGUUCAACAACCACAUGGUCGUCAGACGGUUUAUCUACACGAGCCUUCUUGCUAGGUCUGGCCUUGGCUCUGAAAGAAAAAGAUAUAAAGGUCAGUAUAACAUGUAAAUAUAAGGCGUCAAAAGGAGUAGGUUUACAGUGUUUACCCAGGAACAAUUUUAAGUGGGGGAAGCUGUGUGGCUGUAGACUCGCCGGAUGAUGAAAGAAGUGUUCCCUGAUAAUUUGAAUCGGAUGGAUUAAGAGGCUGUCGGAAAUAACCCGCCUUGGGAUAAGAAGUAUCGGAAGUGUUUGAGACCUCAGAUCGACGCUUCUGGCGUGUUCGUUAACCGGCCAAAGUGAUUACUUGGCCACCAUGUCGGGUUGUGCGGCGAGCUUCGUGUUGCUGCUUCUUCAAAAGAAAGUUUGGGUCCAAGUGAGCUAGGGGGUGAGAAAAUCUUACUUUCUGGAUUGCUUUAUGGAUUUUUUGUGUUGGCAGAGGAUCUGAACCAGAGGAAAGGAUAAUUACCUCUGCAUCAUCAGCUUGGCUGCCUUCGGCGUCAUCCUGAUAAUGAUUAUUGUCAAUGAGGUGUAUGAAAAAUGAACCAAGAGAGUCAAGUUCUACCUCUGCGUCCGGGUCAUCAAGGUUGUCAUCAAGGUUUAACCCGAUGGGUUCAGCUGCCUUUUUCUUGGCAGGUCUUUUAACAACCUUCGUCUUUGGUCGAGGGGUCUUGGCCGGUUUUUCCUGUGGUUUCUUCUUCUAGAAUGGGUCGUCACCCUGUUAAGAGAUUAACAGAAGAUAUAAAAUAUUACACGAAUAAGAAUAUCAAGUACAAGCAGGAGUAAGGUAAGUCUUACAGCCGGCCGUUUAUUGGAAACGCAGAAGAGACUAAGCCCUGUUUUGCUGCAGACAGCCACUGGUUCAUCCAACAUCUUCUUAACACAUUCAGUAACUUCAGCCUCUGUUAGCUGAAUAUCAAUGUGUCAUUGAGGAUCUUUUAAGUCCCCUGUGUACUAACACAUUAAACUGGAGGGACGGCUUAACGGUAAAAUACUCCAAGUUAUCCAGCAACGAGCAAAAUCAACUCCUGUCAGACUGUUAGCCAUAAAGGCUCUGAGCUUGGCGAGUUGUGGAGCAUAUGUGGACCAUUCCUUGGUAGUCAGCCGUUGUGGAAGUGGGUGCAUGUUGGUAAGACGGUGAGCACGGUAACCCGGCAGAGGGUUCUCCUCUUCAGGGGAAGUAUCGUUGUAGUAGAACCAAGUCUGGUUCCAAUCCUUAGGAUGACUGUGAAGUUUGGCGUGAGGAAAGCUGACGUCCUUCCUUUUCUGAAUGGAGACACCACCAAGUUCAGUGUUGGGCCCGUCUACAAAUUCAGUACAACGGUUUAAAUAGAAAAAAUCCCAGAGCAGUUCAACAGUUGGCUCUUCUUGUAAAUAGGCCUCAGAGAACACUUGAAAAUGGCAAAUAUUGGACACAAAGUUAGGUCCAAUGUCUUGAGUGGAUCUGGAAGCUGGCAAGCACAUCACGGAAAAACUUGGACCUGAGCAGUUUAAAACCAAGGCUCAUGUGAUCAACGAAUACCACUAUCUCGCCAUCCUUGGGGGUAGGAGGAUUCUCUGGACCAGGAACUCGCUAGUGGAUUUUGCUUUGUUUUGGUAAAGCGCCAGUUCUGACACAUCUAUCUAGCUGCUCCUCAGUAACCCGGGAAGGGACCCAGUUACAUGCAUAGAACUGUUUGGCCAUUUUGAAUAAGGAGCUGGAAAAGAUUGAUGCCGGUUUAAGACUCAUGAUUAGCAAGCAUAAAGCAUAGCAGGUUAAGGAAAAAGCAUUCAAGCAUGCAAAAUUGUUAUACUGGAGUCUGACAAUGGAGGACGUGCAAAGAUAAAUGAAUCGACGGUUUAAGAGGGGACUAAUGGUACCUACCGGAUUAUCAUCUUUCAAAAAGCUAAACCGCCUAUAUUGGUAUGAAAGGCACAGAUCUAAAAUACCUAAGUAAGGGUAAAACAAGUUUUCACAAAUUGGUAUGAUAAUUUUAGAUCUGCGGUGCGACAGAAAACUAGAAUAUAUUCAGACCUAAACUUCAGGUACUUAAGCAGUUCAUCAGGAUCAGAUGAGUCUUUCUAUAUGAAGGGGAUGCUCUAAUUAAGAAAAAGUAGUGCCGACUAAAAAGGCACCGAAAAAUAUCAGAUCUAGCUUGCCAUUUGCGCUACUGAGAAGAACAACUCUAGAACUUCAAAGAGCUCCGAUGAGUGCAAACCCUAAUGAUAAGAUCUAGGGUGGAAGGAGAGAAGGCUUACCAGUGUCAAAGGAACAGCGGAGAGGCGCCGCAACUUUCUGGUACGAUCAGGGUGAUGCAGCGGCCGUUGUUGGGGCAGAUGCGAAGGUCGACGGCGGCGGCAGAGCUCCAACGUUCGGGCGACGCGAGGAAGAAGACGAUGUGAAGGGGCAUGAAGGGAAAAAUGAAAAGGACCCCUUGUCCUUAUUUCUAAGGUGAAUGGAUAAGCGAUAGGCGCGGAAACUGAGGAGCCCAAAAAAUGGGUAUACAACAAGGUUGUUGCCUCGAUUGUUGGAGGAUCAUUAAUGAAGGGUUUCUUCGGUUUUAAUAAACAGAUGAUGCCAUGGCGGUUUAUCAUGAUCCUGGAAGAUGAAGUCAUGGUGGUUUAUGAGACUUGCAUGAAGGUGCUGAAGAAGAAAUUUUCCUAAGUAUUGAAGACUGACAUGAACCAGUUCAAAUCAAUUUGGGGCCUAAUGUUGGGGAUAUUACUGCUGGGCAUAAACUGGCUAGGAGAGGCCGGAUUAUCCCCAUAAUGAGUUAUUGUAUUUGAAGCCCAUGAAGACAAAGAUGGUGGCGCUUUAUGAAGACCCAGGGCCCAAAGGCGGAUUAAGGCCUAUAGACAUAAACCGACAUUGAUAUGUAAACUUGUGAUGUAAGAUAGAAAGAGUAGAGACCGAGCUGGACACGUUUAUGAGCUGGCCUCGGGAUUCUGUAAACCGACGGGCGUAAACCUAUGUAUAUAAAGGGACGAACUGGCGGUAGUUUAGGGACAACAAACAAUAACUUGAGAGCCAUGCAAAGCGGAUUCGCUCCCUGGUCAUCGAGCCCCAAGCAAUUCCAUCACAACUGGACGUAGACUUUUACCUUCACCGUAAGGGGCCGAACCAGUAUAACUCCUUGCGUCCCUUGUCCGCUUUAACCCCUUUAAGCUAACCCGUAGCGAUGGCUCCACAACUAAGUCCUUUCACGAGGACAUCUGCCGUGACAAUUCCACGACACUUCCCAUUAGCAAUCAUGUGAAAGAAUUGUGUAUUAUCAUCCCCUUGGACGAUUUUAGACACUUUUGCUCUAAGCGCCCAUUUCAUCUCCUUUUCUCUCAUGAGGGUUUGCAACUUCUUCUCGGCCUCAUUCUUAAUAUCUCUCUCGGAAGUAUUAAGAAGGAUCGAUUCUGCUUUCACACCAAGUUCAUUAAUAAUUCUUAUCAAUCUUUCCUUUUCCACUUUAUAUAAACCACUUUGGUGUUUGGCCCAGCCUCUCAAAAAUUGGCGCAGAUGCCUAAUUUUGUUUUGCCAUCUCUCCACACUAGAAGACCCUCCCAUGUCUCUGGCCCAUUCAGUCGUGAUGAGAUGGAUCUUGCCGAGGAGCAGGAGCUUCAGAGUCAGCGUGUGCCCGAAUGCUACGUGCAUGCCUGGCUUCCAGUCCGCGGAUUCUGUGUUCACCGGUGUCAGAUCGUCCCUCUUUCUUUUCUUCUUCUUAUUCUUCUUCUUCUUCUUCUUCCUAUUGUCGACACGUGGGGUAGCAAGACCAAUGGAGGCCCUGAGAAGCUUGGCCAGGCGCUUGACGGCUGCAGGGCAUAUGCCGUAGUGCGCCCGAAGGAUCCUGGACACCUUGACCGGCGGAGAUGCCAACGACACGCACACCAAGGUGGCCGGUUCAGGGUGCCUCGCAAAAACGGCGACACACUCCACGGCUACUUGCGUCGUGAGGGAGAUGGUACUGAACGCCGCCUCGUCCGGGCUCCUGUUACGGUCUUGCUCAUGGAGCUGCGUGGCACCGAGGGGGUCGCCUUCGGCCAGGCACAGGUAGCGCAUUGCCUCUUUUUUCUCCAAGUAGCGGUACUGGAAGCAAAGGAAGGUGACAAGACCCUCCAGCGACUGUCGUUCCAUAGUCAUGGAGUCGACCGUCUCUCGGUACAACGGUAUAUCAAAGAUUUGUCUAUAUUUUGUGUUGGUCCUCACCCUAGAGAUGAUCGAAUCCUUCACAUCAUCCUCUUCCUCCUCGAUUUCCUCCUCCUCGGGGAUGGGUGUGUAGGAUAUGAUGUUGGCGAUGAUGUUGGACACCGGGUCGAGCAAGCCGAAGCACACGCCGGCCUUGAGGAGGCGUGUGGCCAACGAGGGUAUCCUCUCCGCUGGCAGCCGGUCGAGCGCCGCCUUGUAGAAACCGUGGAUGCGAUCGAGCAAGAUUCAUAUGUCCUGCCUGACGCUCUCAGGCGUGAUGCCGUAAGGCCAACUCCAACGUGCGACCCCAUCCGGACGUCCGUUUUUCCCGGAUUCUGUCCAUUUGGGUAGGGCAAUGGGGUCGUGUCCAGGCAUUUUCUGAGAUGCGGUGGCCGUGCUCCUAACAUGUGGACGCAUCCCAACCGCAUCCUGUCUGCGUACAUUUUUCUUUGCAAGCCCAUAUCUUUUUUUCAUCAUUGAUUUUUGAUACAUGGGAAAUACAUCACCAAAUUUUGACUACUCUUGUAAGGUAUCCAAACAAGAACCACAAGAAUACAUUUUAGAAGGUAUCCAACUUGCAUGACUGGUCUUGUAAGUUUGAUUAGUGCCUUCUCGAUGCAUUCAUUGUUGAUCCAUGGAGGCUCGAUCUUGUGUGCUUCUUUCCUCUUCGAGUGUAAAGAACUAGACGUUGCUUCCUCACAUCCACUCUCGUGUCUAGCCUCUAUUCUAGCAACAAGUGCACUAGUCUCAUCUCUAGCCUCUAUGCUAGCUAAAAGUGCACGAACAUCUACUAAAUUGCGCUCUAUCAAUAUAUCAAUGUACUCUUCUUUCCAAUACCAAAACUUGCAUCCAUUCUACACAAUAAAAUUUUUAGGUUAGCACAACCAAAGCUAAAGUAGCACAUACCCCAUCGUUUGAGCACCUGAUGAACACCCAUUUGGAAUGUUCCGGCGUUGUAGACACGCGAUGCAAGACCUUCUUUGGGCAGUCAUCGCACUUAAUGAGUGGCAACGGUGCGCCAAUGAGCUUUAGGGCCAGCACCGAGCCUGGCCGACCGCCAUUCAUGUAUUUGACGGCAGACCACCGACGGUGUAGAUCCGAGCAGCUAGAGGAGGAGCCAAUACCUGCAUGCGGCCUUGCGGCCUUGUGCGGGCCUUCCGGCCUGGUGCCCGGCCAGUCCAUGGCACAGUGCGGCCUCCCACAACCGGGAGAGCUCAAGCUUGACCGGAUCCGCUCCAAAUCCGACCAUCGGGUGCGCAAAUCAGGAGGCCGUGGUUGGGUAGCUCGGGGGCGUCAAGGGAAAGGAGGCUGGGCGAGCGCACGUCCGAACUGCACAGCUGCAAUGGCAGCGUGCAGCGGUGGCAACGACGAGGGGCAAGAAUGGAGAAGAGUGGAGGGGGUGUGAUACGUCUCCGUCGUGUCUAUAAUUUUAGAUUGCUUCAUGCCAAUAUUGUACAACUUUCAUAUACUUUUGGCAACUUUUUAUACUAUUUUUGGGACUAACAUAUUGAUCCAGUGCCUAGUGCCAGUUCCUGUUUGUUGCAUGUUUUUUGUUUCACAGAAAAUCUAGAUCGAACGGACUCCAAAUGGGAUAAAAACUGACAGAGAUUUUUUUUAGAAUAUAUGUGAUUUUUGGGAAGAAGAAUCAACGCGAGACGAUGCCCGAGGGGGCCACGAGGCAGGGGGCGCGCCCCGGGGGGUCAAGCGUGCCCUGGGCCUCGUGGCCAGCCCAUAAGGCGGUUGGUGCCCUUAUUUCACCGCAAGAAAGCUAAUAUUCGGAUAAAAAUCGUGUCCAAAAUUCAGCCCAAUCGGAGUUACGGAUCUCCGGGAAUUUAAGAAACGGUGAAAGGGCAGAAUCUGGAACGCAGAAACAGAGAGAGACAGAGAGACAGAUCCAAUCUCGGAGGGGCCCCUCCGCUGCCAUGGAGGCCAUGGACCAGAGGGAAACCCUUCUUUCAUCUAGGGGGAAGGUCAAGGAAGAAGAAGAAUAAGGGGGGCUCUCUCCCCCUCUCUCCCGGUGGCACCGGAACACCGCCGGGGCCAUCAUCAUCACCGCAAUCUACACCAACAACUUCACCACCAUCAUCACCAACUCUCUCCCCUCUAUGUAGCGGUGUAACCCCUCUUUUACCAGUUGUAAUAUCUACUUAUACAUGGUGCUCAACUCUAUGUAUUAUUUCCCAAUGAUGUAUGGCUAUCCUAUGAUGUUUGAGUAGAUCUGUUUUAUCCUAUGGGUUAAUUGAUGAUCAUGAUUGGUUUGAGUUGCAUGUUUUAUUAUUGGUGUUGUCCUAUGGUGCUCUCCGUAUCACGCAAGCAUGAGGGAUCUCUGUUGUAGGGUUUGCAAUAUGUUCAUGAUUUGCUUAUGGUGGGUGGCGUGAGUGACAGAAGCACAGACCCGAGUAAGUAGGUUGUUUGCGUAUGGGAGUAAAGAGGACUUGAUGCCUUAUAAUGCUAUGGUUGGGUUUUACCUUAAUGAUCUUUAGUAGUUGCGGAUGUUUUCUAGAGUUCCAAUCAUAAGUGCAUAUGAUCCAAGAAGAUAAAGUAUGUUAGCUUAUGCCUCUCCCUCAAAUAAAAUUGCAAUAAUGAUUACCGGUCUAGUUAUCGAUUGUCUAGGGAAAAAUAACUUUCUGGUGUGACAACAAGCUCUCUACUAAACCUAACUUAGUUGUGUCUUUAUCUAAACAGCCCCUACUUUUUAUUUAUGCGCUCUUUAUUAUCUUGCAAACCUAUCCAACAACACCUACAAAGUACUUCUAGUUUCAUACUUGUUCUAGGUAAAGCGAACGUCAAGCGUGCAUAGAGUUGUAUCGGUGGUCGAUAGAACUUGAGGGAAUAUUUGUUCUACCUUUAGCUCCUCGUUGGAUUCGACACUCUUACUUAUCGAAAGAGGCUAUAAUUGAUCCUCUAUACUUGUGGGUUAUCAAGACCUUUUUCUGGCGCCGUUGCCGGGGAGCAAUAGCAUGGGGUGAAUAUUCUCGUGGGUGCUUGUUUGCUUUAUCACUAAGUAAUUUUUAUUUGUUGUUCUUAGUUGUUUUCUAUCUUUAGUUAUGGGUAGGAAACGCAAAAUACCAAAAAAAUUAGUUGUACCUACUACACCAAUGGUUGAAGAACCACUCAAAAUCUAUCACACUCCUGAAGCUUUUUACUUGGUUCAUCUUUGAUCCCUAUAUGCUCGUGUUGAAACACCAACUAGCUUAGUUGAGGGAAAAUCUUUAGAUGAGCAUGCUUGUUAUGUGCGACACAGCUUAUCUCAAAAAGGGAAACUUUUACUGGAUCACAUUCAUCGUUUGCAAUGCUAUGCUUGGAAUUUAUGUGAAAUAUAUGAUGUUACUUGUUGUUCUAAAAACCCUAAGAAACACCUUCCCUACCAAUGUGAGUUUAGUGAUAAUGGAAUCGUAUCUUCAUAUGCUAAGGGUGUUUAUAAUUACUAUGAUGUUCAACAAAUUGAAGAAUUUGUUGCUUUUAAGGGUGCUUAUGAAGUUUCUUUUUUGAUUGAAAAGUAUGAUGCUACUCUUUACAAAUCUGAAAAAUUUGCCAUACUUAAAUAUUGUUAUGAUAAUUAUGCUUCUAAUGCCUAUGUUAAACCAUAUAUUGAGGACUCCUCCGCUGUCCAAGAAGAGAAUAAUAUUUUGCAGGAGUCUAUGGAAGAAGAAAUUGAUGAAACUGUGAGCUCAUUGGAUGAAAAAGAUGAUGAGGAGAGCGAAGAACAAAAGGAGGAAAAGCAGAUUAGCUAUUCGUGCCCACCUUCUAAUGAGAGUAACUCUCCAACUCAUACAUUAUUUAGCGUCCCUUCAUUCUUACCGAAGGAUGAAUGCUAUGAUGAUUGUUAUGAUCCCAUUGAUUCUUUUGAAAUAUCCUUUUUUGAUGAUGCUUGCUAUGCUUGUGGCCAAGAUGCCAAUAUGAAUUAUGCUUAUGGAGAUGAACUUGCUAUAGUUCCUUAUGUUAAACAUGAAUUUUUUUUUGCUAUUGCACCCACGCAUGGUAGUCCUAUUAUCUUUUUGAAUUCUCCCGACUACACUAUAUCGGAGAAGUUUGCGCUUAUUAAGGAUUAUAUUGAUGGAUUGCGUUUUACUACUACACAUGAUUAUUUUGAUAGAUAUAAUAUGCAUGUUCUUGCUGCUCCUACUUGCAAUUAUUAUGAGAGAGGAACUACAUCUCCGCCUCUCCAUGUUUCCAAUAUGAUAAAAUUACAAGAAACUGUUUAUACUAUGCAUGGGACUUUACUAUGUGUGUAUGAAUUGUUCUUCUAUGACAUGCCGAUGCAUAGGAAGAGAUUUAGACUUCGUCAUUACAUGAUAUAUGUUACCUUGUGCUCACUACUAAAUCAUAAAUCAUUGUUAAUUAAAAUUGGCUUUGAUAUACCUUGGGAUCCGGGUGGAUCCAUUACUUGAGCACCUUAUGCCUAGCUUAAUGGCUUUAAAGAAAGCGCUGCCAGAGAGACAACCCAGAAGUUUUAGAGAGUCAUUUAUUUCUGUUGAGUGCUUUUAUAUAGUUUAAAAACAAAAAAUUAAAGAGGGAAACCCAAAAAUUUUCAAAAAGGAAAGUGAAAGUGAGAAAGACAAGCAUUGUUGAAGUGGGGGAGCUCCUUGAACUUUGUUCAUGCUCACGGAAACUUUGUUAAUCUUGAUUACAGAAACUUUUCAACAAAAAUAAUUAUCCCCUUGUACAACUCCAUUGUAUUAUAAAAAUAAUGUGCCAAGAUUUGCCUUUAGGAUGUUUACAUUACUUGUUGGUUUGUGCGGUGCAGAACAGAAACUUUGGCUGUAGUGCGUGUCACAGCCCUGAAAUUUGCUUGUCAUUAGUUGCAUUAAGGCAGUCAUGUCAUCAUGUUUAAAUUUCUCAGAAAAUUGAAAUGGGGAUGACAAACCCUAGCACCAAAAAUUAAAUCAAAUAGGGUCAGGUUUAAGCCUUUUCAAUAAACCCAAAAUGCCUUUAAAAAUGUUCAUCAUUUUUAGAAAAGAUUAAAACCUCUGACAAAAAUGAUGCGCAUGUUUCAAGGUCAUUCAUGGAUUUUUGAAUUAAAUCUUAUCAUAUUUGAAUUUGGGCAUUUAAACACUAUAAAUAAUUUAAAUGCUCAAAUAAUGCUAAAUUUAAAUGUGGACCACUGGAAUAAUCCAUAGAGUGUCCACAAAUUAUUGCAGCAUUUUACAAAAUGCUUUAGUAUUUUUACUAAAGCCAAAACAGCAGCAGAAAAAUAGAAAACAGAAGAAAAAAAAAUAGGAAGGAAACCCACCUAACUUACCUGGCAGCCCAUCCGCAUCCCAACACUGUGCAACCUAGCAGCAGCCCAGCCCACCGCAGCCGCCACCGUCUUCAACGUCCUGCCAGUAGGCAGGAGGGCGUGUGCCCGACGCAUGCGCGCACACGCCGGCCACCUCCUGCUUGCCUGCACGCCGCUGGAUUCACCCGAGGGCGCCACGCACCCUCCCUCGACCCUCUGCACCUCCUCCCUCCUUGCAGCUCUCUCCCCUCCCCUCGCUCUCCCGAAGCAGAGCGGAGCUCGUCGCCGCCGUACGCCGUAGAUGCGGCCUCCGUGCUCCCCUCGCCUCCCCGACGUGUCCACAAGCAUCGCCACGCCUCCCUCGUCCUCUCCGUCUAGCCACGCCUCGCCGGAGGCCUUGCAUCGACGCCAUCUUCAUCGUCUUCGUCGCCGGCCACCGGAGAUGCCUCUCGCCGCCCCGCUCGCUUUGGUGCUUCCCCGAGCACGCCGAGGCCACCUCUGCAUCCACCGUGAGCCCCUGCCCCUAACCCCCCUCCUCUAUGCCUCAGUUGCGCCCCCUAGCCGCCAUCUCCACCGAGCCUGAGCACUCUGCUCCGCCGGCAACGCCGUCGUCGUGGCCACAGCCACGCGGGCUCAAAACCGAGUGCGUCACCACAUUUGCCACACUCCCAGGAGGCCGUAGCCCCUCUCCACGCCCAUGUUGUGCAUCCCAGCACCGAACCCGAGCAUGUCCGAGCUCCGGCGGCCACCGCGAGCUCCGUUCCGGCGAGCUCCGGCGCCCCCACGGCCACCCACCUACCUCCCUGGAUGCGGGCGAGUCCGGGCUACGCCCCGAUGCCCUUAGCCACCGCCCUGUUGCCUUUAGCGCGAGUCCGGCGCGUUGCCGCCGCGGGUUUGGUCGCCGUCGGCCAACUCCGGUGACAGCCGACGCGGCGGGGUUCUGACAGCAUUGGUAUCAGAGCCUGACUGCUUGUAGGAUUACCAAGCCAGACUGGUCGAAGUUGAGUCUAGAAAUGCUUUAGUUAUAUAAGGGAAUUGAUUGUGGGAUGGAACAUAAGGCUCUUUUUAUUCCUUAUAUCUCGUGCCCUCUGAUCUGAGUCACCCUCUUCUCUUCUACGGGGAUUAAGAACUAUGCUUCUCAUCUUUCUAUCAGGAUCACGUGUUACUAAACCAUAGUUGCCUAGGAUUGUUGGAUUUAAGCCUCAGUUUAGUUCCUACUACUUCCAUAUGUUCAUAGCUGGCCUCAGAACCUUGAUAUUGUGUUGUUGAGUGGUUAUGCCACCAUUUUGCAGGAUGUCUCAAAUCUUUUGAGCAUUUACAGCCGUUAUACUGUCCGAGUCAUCCCAGGUCUCCAAAUAGUCUGAUGCAAUUGCAAAUCCUUUCUUCCCAUUUCUGAUAUCCUUUUGGGCAAGAUUAACCACACUAAUCGGUGAGUUGAGGCACUCUGUUGCCUCGACAUAUAGGUUGGAGCUAGUAUGAUGACCCUAGGUGUUUUAGAGGAUCACCUAGUAAUCUAGCCAUGUCUUGUGUUUCUAGUGUGAUGAUUCUGGCCAUCAUUCUUGAAAGCAUCCCGUGAUGCCAUUUAAUUAGUAGGUAUUCUAUUCCUGGGUUUGAACCCGAGAUUCACUCCAGUCACCUCCUGUUGAUAGUGUUUGCUUAUUCCUUUAGGAUAUUAGUAACCUUGCGACAGUCCUCGAGGUCUGUGGUAUUUCCUUCUUCCAAAUACCAUGAACCAUUAAGGCAGAAGUUCUUUGAACCAAAAUAUCACAAUCAGAGUACUCUUGAGGAGUUCUCCAUUCAUAAUUGUGAUUCUGUCAGUUCUACCUUUCUGCAUGGGUUAUCUGGAAGAAACUUGUUAAACUUGGUUCGACAUAUUAAUCUAUGCAUCCACAACUCAGAAAGAUAUAUGUCCUCUUGAGUUGUCCCUCUUCAAUUGUAUUCCGACCAUCCUCUAUCAAUUGAUAGUCAGGAGUAAUUGUGCAUCCAUGUUAUCGAUGCUAUUAUUCUUGUGGUCCAUUAAGCCAUUCUAUUUCAGAAUGACUAGGAGAACAAACUCUAGUACCUCAUCCAUAUCCAGGAUUGGGUCAAAGUAGUUGUGUUCUGCAGAUCAAAUGCUAAUCCAGCUUUUGCUCUGUUCUACCGUGAAGUAUUACCCACUUUAUGUCAAGAAUAUUGUGAGAAUUGCACCAUCUCUUAUGAACUCUUGAUGCAGUGAUACUUCGCACCAUCAUCAUUCAUUUCUCGGUCCUCGUGUUGUUGUAACUAGAAUGCCGACAAGUGAACCAUGAUGUGUGAAAUCAAUACUCCUAGCAACUGUGUUGCUUGGUAGUUAUGGACAUUAUGAUCAUUCUCAGCGUGUUGGUUAUCGAAUCACUAUUCUAGGAUUGAUCGUGCUACCUUGUCCUUAUUCCUGGUGCACUAUUUGAUCUUGGAGUUAGGAUUGAAUUCAUUGCUUAUUUGAUCAUAUCGUCUUGCCCUAAAAAGCAAGAUUGUUCUCGAGCUUAGUGACAUAUCGGUGGUUCGUGAUUUUCCGAAUAUCUUCUCGGAGGUAUCACCAGGCUGUCACCUGAUCGCUAUGUUGAGUUCGUGAUCAAGUUGGUUUCUUGUAGCCACCCUCUUCUCCAAGAAUCUAUGUUGGAUACCCCUGAGCUAGUUGGUUAAGCUUAACAACAACUUGGAGAGUUGGAAGAUAAAAGCUUGUCCUACCACGCUCAUCCCUAAGGGAUAUCUUUUAUCUGUGUUGAAGAAAGAUAAUACCUUCAUCGAUUGAUCCACGUGAUCAAUUGUCGGCGCUAUUGUCUUAUCAAUCCUUUGAUUUGAGUGUGGGCUAUCGUCAAAUCAAAUCAGAACCAACGAUGUUCGUAAUGUUGUCUUACUCAUGGUUGAUCCCUCGAGCAUACACCAUUACAUCCUUUGGUCUGACCAAUGCUAUCACCGUGUUCACAUGAUGGUGGAAGUCCAGUGAUAUGGAGAUUUCGAUGAGUUGUUGUUGAGCCCAUCAGCAGCAUUUUGUCUCCCCCAUGAUUCAAGUUGAACAUUAUACUAGUGUUGGAAACUUUAUAAGAAUUGCCCUCAUGUCCCGUUCAUGAAGCAUAUGUCUGGUUGAAAUAUGUGACUUCCUCUAAUUCAUGUGCAUCUGAUGCAAGUUGCCGCCGUGGAUUCGAGAAAGCUUGUUUUGCUUCCUUUGGAGUCAUCCCAAGGUAGUCAUGCAUGUGCGAAGUAUUCUAUGGUUUGAUAGGCUCGCUACCUCCAGUCCAUAUGUGUCCCUAGCACACCAAGCUACUAAUUGAUUUGUUCAAGGAGAAGAAGUUUCUUCUUAAGAGCUAGACUUACGCAAGGACUUCGAUAUCCUCGUUGAUGGUUCCCCUUGAACUCGGUAGUGUUUCAUUGUAAGACUACAAGGUGACCAUGCUUGUCUAGGACAGCGUGUUCACAUGCUUGUAGCAGAACCGGCUCAUGUUUUGGAGCUUACUACCGUAGUUCAUUCCCCCGAGAGUCUCGCAACGUCAUCUCGUCGAUUUGUGUUGCAAACUUUUGUUCUCCUUUCUAGACUUGAUGAGUCUAGAAUAUCCUGACACCAACCAGAUCUGAAUCUCAGGCAGAUAUGAUGGUUGGAACACACUCCAAGAACUAUAAUAUUGCUCUCUCUGUAACCGGUAAAGUGGAUGUCGUGGCCAACACACCCAGACGGAAGACCUAUUAUUGUAGUAUCUUGAUUGAGGAAGUUGGCCACCUCCCCAUAAGGAUUUCAUAGGAUUUACUCCAGAAGUUGUUCCUUAUGGAUCUAUUGUAUUCCGAAGUCCGACCACUACUUGAUGGCUAUGUUGAUGCUUUAAAGCAUGACCGUGGUAACCAGUACAUCAAGGAGAACAUUAGAAGCGGAAUGUUAAAUGUCUCUCAGUCGAUCAUCCAGAUUUCUUUCCCUUAGCCUCGCUAAGGUGAAAUCUGAGAAAGGGUUGUCCUUCUAUGCAUCUGCAUUGUCCAUCACUAUUCGUCAAGGUAGUAAGAUGUGUUGCCAGGAUCCUCGACUCGGAUGUUGGUAGAACCUUGAUGAAUAUGGAAAUGCUCAAGUUCUUGAGAGCACACGAAAUCACUAGGAUUUAUCGUCGGCAUUAAUUGGGAUAUGCUUCCAGUUUCCUCGGUUAUGCUAUAACCUUUCCGAUAGUGGAAUCUCUCUCUACUGUUGGGUUCUCCCCAGUUACUAGAAUCAAUCCCAACAUUUGCAUUUUGUCCCCAGCUUGCACCCACCAUUGUGCCCUUUCACUAUGAUCCGCCUUCUCAGCAGUUGUUGUCCAAGAUCAUCUUCAAAAAGUGGACCUACCAUGGGUCCCAUCCAUUUUUCGAUGAUAAGCAAAAUCAUCCAUUACGUUGUCUUCAACAAGGUAGUCCACAUCAUCCAUUCGAACUCCGCCAAACGAUCGUUUGUCAUUGACUUAGGCUGGCAUAAAGAGUUUCAGUGAUCGUUAUAUCAAAAGUAAUUCUUUUUGCCACUUAAGGGAAUAGCCCCGUUAGGUAAUCAUGGCAACUUAUCUCCUCGCCGCUUUGACACUCACUCACCAUCUCACCUAAGCGUGGGAUUGUUGCCUACCAAUUUGGACCUUCGUCAUAUGUCCCUCUACAUCCCUUUUGAUAUGCAUGUUUCAUGUCUCAGCUCAAGAGAUGUUUUAUAUCUCACCCCAAGAGUUGAUCUUGAGUUGCUCGAUCUUUGAGAAGAUCGAUUCAUGUAGAGUUCCUGUCUGUCAUCAUCGUGUUGGAUGCAGAUCUCGAAAGAAAGGACGCCAAGAUCGAUCCGAAGCAAUGGAUCAUGAAGAUCAUGUUAGUUGUGCCCUCUGUCUUCUUACCUCAUGUCUUGAAUCUCGGGGCGAGAUUCUUGUUUAGUGGGGGUGAGUUGUCACAGCCCUAGAAUUUGCUUGUUAUUAGUUGCAUUAAGGCAGUCAUGUCAUCAUGUAUAAAUUUCUCAGAAAGUUGAAAUGGGGAUGACAAACCCUAGCACCAAAAAUUAAAUCAAAUAGGGUCAGCCUUAAGCCUUUUCAAUAAACCCAAAAUGCCUUUAAAAAUGUUCAUCAUUUUUAGAAAAGGUUAAAACCUCUGACAAAAAUGAUGCGCAUGUUUCAAGGUCAUUCAUGGAUUUUUGAAUUAAAUCUUAUCGUAUUUGAAUUUGGGAUGUAAACACUAUAAAUAAUUUAAAUGCUCAAAUAAUGCUGAAUUUAAAUGUGGACCACUGGAAUAAUCCAUAGAGUGUCCACAAAUUAUUGCAGCAUUUUACAAAAUGCUUUAGUAUUUUUACUAAAGCCAAAACAACAGCAGAAAAAUAGAAAACAGAAGAAAAAUAGAAUAGGAAGGAAACCCACCUAACUUACCUGGCAGCCCAUCCGCAUCCCAACACUGUGCAGCCCAGCCCACCGCAGCCGCCACCGUCUUCAACCUCCUGCCAGUAGGCAGGAGGGCGUGUGCCCGACGCGCGUGCGCACGCGUCGGCCACCUCCUGCUUGCCUACACGCCGCUGGAUUCACCCGAGGGUGCCAUGCACCCUCCCUCGACCCUCUGCACCUCCUCCCUCAUCGCAGCUCUCUCCCCUCCCCUCGCUCUCCCGAAGCCGAGCGGAGCUCGUCGCUGCCGUACGUCGUAGAUGCGGCCUCCGUGCUCCCCUCGCCUCCCCGACGUGUCCAGGAGCAUCGCCACGCCUCCCUUGUCCUCUCUGUCCAGCCACGCCUCGCUGGAGGCCUUGCAUCGACGCCAUCUUCAUCGUCUUCGUCGCUGGCCACCGGAGAUGCCUCUCGCCGCCCCGCUCGCUCCGGUGCUUCCCCGAGCACGCCGAGGCCACCUCUGCAUCCACCGUGAGCCCCUGCCCCUAACCCCCUCCUCUACGCCUCAGUUGCGCCCCUAGACGCCAUCUCCACCGAGCCCGAGCACUCUGCUCCGCCGGCGACGCCGUCAUCGUGGCCACAGCCACGCGGGCUCGAAACCGAGCGCGUCACCGCGUUUGCCACACUCCCAGGAGGCCAUAGCCCCUCUCCACGCCCCUGUUGUGCAUCCCAGCACUGAACCCGAGCACGCCCGAGCUCCGGCCGCUGCCGCGAGCUCCGUUCCGGCGAGCUCCGGCGCCCCCACGGCCACCCACCUACCUCCCUAGAUGCGGGCGAGUCCGGGCUACGCCCAGAUGCCCUUAGCCACCGCCCUCGUCGCCUUUAGCGCGAGUCCGACGUGUUGCCGCCGCAGGUUUGGUCACCGCCGGCCAACUCCGGCGACAGCCGACGUGGCGGGGUCAUUAGUGCUAAUCCCCGCCAGUUGGACCUCACCUAGUCACUGACAGCGGGCCCCGCAGCGGGUCAAAGCCGUAGUCAACGCGGGAUUAGUUUCUAUCCCACUGACCAGUGGACCCCACUGAUCAGGUUUGACUCUGACCCGGUCUGUUGACCUGCUGACGUCACAACGAUGUCAUGCUGACGCAGUUAACCUUUUUCUGGAUUUAUUCUUAUUCAGGAAUUCCAGAAAUUAGUUUAAACUUCAAAAAUUCAUAGUAAUUCAACCGUAACUCCAAAUGAAACAAAUUAUAUAUGAAAAAUUAUUAGAAAAAUUCAAGGAAUCUGUUUAUGGCAUUUGCAUGCAUGUUUGAACAACCUAGGGUUGCUGUACAGGGCAAUUUGCAUAAUUGACAUUUAAAAUAAGCACAUAUGGAGUUUGAAUUUGAACCCUUGGUUCAAACCAACUUCAUUUAAUAUGAUUGCUAGUUGCAUUAGCUCAAUCAACAGCAUAUUGCCAUGACAUUAUCAUGCAUCAUAAUUGUUGCAUUGCAUUGAUUGUGUUCCUCUUUGUUUGCCGGCAUUUGUCCCCUCUCGAUAGACGUGGUUCCGACGAUGAGUUCGAUGACACCGAUGAAGAACUAUACUAUCUUCAGAAGUGUUAGGCAAGCAAAAACCCCUUGUUCAUUCUGAUACAAUCCCACUCUCUCGCUCCUGCUCUCCUUUACUGCAUUAGGACAACAACGAUUCAACUGUUACAUGCUGCGGUAGUUGAACCCCUUUCCUUUGCAUGACCUGUCAUUGCCACAGUAAAUAGAUGAAACCCACUAGCAUGAGUAGGAGUUGUUUGAGCCCUGAUGUGCCUACUCAUUCAUGUUUGCUUGUCAUGCCUGCUAUUUCUUAGAGUUGUGUCAGGUCUGAUUCAUCGGGGAUGAAUUGGAAAGUUGUGAACAUGUCCUACUGUGUGUGAGCUAAGUGUGUGAACACGAUUUGGUAAAGGUAGCGGUGAGAGGCCAUGUAGGAGUACAUGGUGGGUUAUCUCAUUGAAACCGUUCUCAGGAACUGAGUUCUGUGUUUGUGAUCCAUGAAACAGCUACUACCACACAUUGGGCCCUGAAAUAUGACCCCUCUCGACUUACUGACCCCUCUCGUCCUCUGUCCAGGAGUUGCAACUAGUUUCUGGUGUUUAUAGGAUAUGUGUUGGCGGUCGUGCGUAGCGCUGACCCUAGGGGUGGGCUAUGAUGCGGUAGAUACACCAUGGCACAGUGUACUGGGCACCCGUUUGGUGUCUUGGGAACCCUGCACACAUCGUUUGGAGCUGUGAGCGAAACUCCGGCCGGAUCUCCUCACGGAUGGAACCCGAAUAGGCGAUAAACAUGGACUAGAGACUUGUGCGGUUAGUUAGGUCAUGGUCUACACCCACGUCGGCUUUCACUUGAAGUCUGCCGAGCACAUGUCGUGUGCAGACGCUAAGUGGUGGAAACAUGUGUGACGAAGUACACCCCUGCAGGGUAUAAAACUAUUCGAAUAGCCGCGUCCGCAGUAAAGGACUUCUGGGUUGCCGAUAACAGUUCAUAGACAAGUGAAAAUGGAUACUCUAAAACUCGCAAGAUAAGUGUGAGUGCUAUGGAUGGCCUUCUCGUAGGGAGACGGGAGCGGAUCCAUAGUGGUGUAUUGAAUGGCGAAUAUGUGGACUUGUGUGCGCCACCUCAAAAGAGUUACUUGUAGUCGUAGUUUAAGAUAGCCACCGAGUCAAAGGUGGCUUGCUGUAGUUAAACUCCACCACCCCUCUUUGUUGAUACCGAUGCAUAUGUAGCUAGUUCUGAUGUAAGUCUUGCCGAGUACUUUUGUACUCACGUUUGCUUAAUUUAUGUUUUGCAGAGAGACUUCAGUCUCGCUAGUAGUUUCGCGUGGACUUCGACGUUUAGCUUGAUACCUCAGCUAUGAUCUUGUGCCCUCGGCAGGAUCUGGUAGAUAGUCAGGCUUCUCAGCCUUUUUCAUUUGUAGAUGUUUGUACUCAGACAUGUUAAGCUUCCGCAUGUGCUUUGAUUUGUAUGCUAUGAUUGUUGGGUCAUGAGACCCAUGUUUGUAAUAUCUCGCUCCUCGGAGCCUAAUGAAUAAUACUUGAGUCGUAGAGUUAUGUUGUGAUGCCAUGUUGUAUUUACACAUAUCGAGCAUAUUGUGUGUAUGAUUGAAAUGCUUGGUAUGUGUGGGAUCCGACAAUCUAGUUGUUUAUCCUUGGCAGCCUCUCUUAUGGGGAAAUGUAGUCUAGUGCUUCCAUGAGCCAUAGUAGUCCGCUACAGCCCGGUUCAACGGAGUCCGGCUAGCCCAACACUACUGCUCAGGACACUUGACUGGUCGGCAUGUGUUUCACUUCAUUCCUGUGUCUGUCCCUACGGGGAAAUGUCACGCGGUGACAUCCGGAGUCCUGUUAGCCCAGUGCUAUAGCCCGGAUUCACACGCUGCUGACCGACAUGCUCGAUGUGAUUCAUGUAUGCCUGUCCCCAUAGGUUGGUGCCGCUUUGGGUUCACGACUAGCCAUGUCAGCCCAGGUUCUCUGUCAUAUGGAUGCUAGCGACACUAUCAUAUACGUGAGCCAAAAGGCGCAAACGGUCCCGGUCCAUGGUAAGGCGACUCCCUUGGGAAUACCAUGCGUGAGGCCACAAAGUGAUAUGAGGUGUUACCGGCUAGAUCGAUGUGACUUGGAAUCGGGGUCCUGAAAGUGCACGAUUUUAAUUUUUUUACUGGAACGUCAAACGGUUCUGAAACUUCUUGCACUGUAUUUAUAUACAAUUUUUUUAUUUUCCCUAAUUUUGACAGAAUUUUUGGAGUACCAAAAGUAUGGUGAAUGUUCAAAUUACUACAGACUGUCAUGUUUAAGACAUAUUCUGUUUUUGAUGCAUAGUUUAUUUGUUUUGAUGAAACUAUCAAUUUCUAUCAGUGGAUUAAGCCAUGGAAAAGUUAUAUUACAGUAGCUACAAUGAAAAAACAAAAUAUGAAUUGGUUCGCAAUAGUACUUAGAGUAGUGAUUUGCUUUAUUAUACUAACGGAUCUUACCGAACUUUUUGUUAAGUUUUGUGUGAUUGAAAUUUUCAAGUUUUGGGAGAGAUCACAAUGGAUGAAGGAAUAAGGAGUUGCAAGAGCAUAAGCUUGGGGAUGACCGAGGCACCCUGAGGAAAUAUUCAAGGACUCCUAAGCAACCAAGCUUGGGGAUUCCCCGAAAGGCAUCCCCUCUUUCUUCUAACAAUCAUCGGUAAUUUUACUUGGAGUUAUAUUUUUAUUCGUCACAUGAUAUGCGUAAAUCUUGGAGCGUCUUUUGCAUUUAGUUUUCACUUUUCUUUUAUGCACCAUGCCGGUAUGAGAUAGUCCUUGGUUGAUUUAUAUAAUUCUCACUGCCCUUCACUUAUAUCUUUUGAGUAUGGCUUUAUAGAAUGCUUCAUGUGCUUCACUUAUAUCAUUUGAAGUUUUGAUUGCCUGUUUCUCUUCACAUAGAAAAUCGUCAUUUUUAGAAUGCUCUUUUGCUUCACUUAUAUUUGUUAGAGCGUGGGCAUAUCUUUUGUAGAAAGAAUUAAACUCUCUUGCUUCGCUUAUAUCCAUUUAGAGAGAUGAAAGGAAUUGGUCAUUCACAUGGUUAGUCAUAAAAUCCUACAUAAAACUUGUAGAUCACUGAAUAUGAUGUGUUUGAUUCCUUGCAAUAGUUUUGCGAUAUAAAGAUGGUGAUAUUAGAGUCAUGCUAGUGGGUAGUUAUGGAUAUUCUCGUAGCAUGCAUGUAUGGUGAACCGUUAUGUGACGAAGUUGGAGCAUGAGGUAUUUAUUGAUUGUCUUCCUUAUGAGUGGUGGUCGGGGACGAGCGAUGGUCUUUUCCUACCAAUAUAUACCCCUAGGAGCAUGCGGGUAGUACUUUGUUUCGAUGACUAAUAGAUUUUUGCAAUAAGUAUGUGAGUUCUUUAUGACUAAUGUUGAGUCCAUGGAUUAUACACACUCUCACCCUUCCAUCAUUGCUAGCCUCUUCGGUACCGUGCAUUGCCCUUUCUCAUCUCAAGAGUUGGUGCAAACUUCGCCGGUGCAUCCAAACCCCGUGAUACGAUACGCUCUAUCACACAUAAGCCUCAUUAUAUCUUCCUCAAAACAGCCACCAUACCUACCUAUCAUGGCAUUUUCAUAGCCAUUCCGAGAUAUAUUGCCAUGCAACUUCCAUCAUCAUCAUAUACAUGACUUGAGCAUUUAUUGUCAUAUUUCUUUGCAUGAUCGUAAGAUAGCUAGCAUGAUGUUUUCAUGGCUUGUCCGUUUUUUCAUGUCAUUGCUAUGCUAGAUCAUUGCACAUCCCGGUACACCGCCGGAGACAUUCAUAUAGAGUCAUAUCUUUGUUCUAGUAUCGAGUUGUAAUAUUGAGUUGUAUGUAAAUAAAAGUGUGAUGAUCAUCAUUAUUAGAACAUUGCCCCAUGAUCAAAAUAAAAGUGGCCGAAAAAGCCCCCCCACAAAAGAUAGAGGCCAAGAAGCCUAAAAAAGAAAAAGAAAUGAAAAAAGAGAAGGGACAAUGUAACUAUCCUUUUACCACACUUGUGCUUCAAAGUAGUACCAUGUUCUUCAUAUAGAGAGUCUCUUGAGUUAUCACUUUCAUAUACCAGUGGGAAUUUUCAUUGUAGAACUUGGCUUGUAUAUUCCGAUGAUGGGCUUCCUCAAAUGCCCGAGGUCUUCAUGAGCAAGCAAGUUGGAUGCACACCCACUUAGUUUCAGUUUGAGCUUUCAUACACUUAUAGCUCUUAGUGCAUCCGUUGCAUGGCAAUCCCUACUCCUCGCAUUGGCAUCAAUUGAUGGGCAUCUCCAUAGCCCGUUGAUUAGCCGCGUCGAUGUGAGACUUUCUCCUUUUUUGUCUUCUCCACACAACCUCCAUCAUCACAUUCUAUUCCACCUAUAGUGCUAUGUCCAUGGCUCACGCUUAUGUAUUGCGUGAAAGUUGAAAAUAUUUGAGAACAUCAAAAAUAUGAAACAAUUGCUUGGCUUGUCAUCGGGGUUGUGCCUGAUUUGAAUAUUUUGUGUGAUGAAGAUGGAGCAUAGCCAGACUAUAUGAUUGUAUAGGGAUAACUUUCUUUGGCCAUGUUAUUUUGAAAAGACAUGAUUGCUUUAUUAGUAUGCUUGAAGUAUAAUUGUCUUAAUGUCAAAUGAUAGACUAUUGCUUUGAAUCACUCAUGUCUUAAUAUUCAUGCCAUGAUUAAAUUACAUGAUCAAGAUUAUGCUAGGUAACAUUUCACAUCAAAAAUUAUCUUUUUUAUCAUUUACCUACUCGAGGACGAGUAGGAAUUAAGCUUGGGGAUGUUGUUACAUCUCCGUUGUAUCUAUAAUUUUUGAUUGUUCUAUGCCAAUAUUAUACAACUUUCAUAUACUUUUGGCAACUUUUUAUAUUAUUUUUGGGACUAACAUAUUGAUCUAGUGCCCAGUGACAAUUUCUGUUUGUUGCAUGUUUUCUGUUUCGUAGAAAAUCCAUAUCAAACGGAGUCCAAACGGGAUAAAAACUGACGGAGAUUUUUUUUGAAAUAUAUGCGAUUUUUGGGAAGAAGAAUCAACGCGAGACAAUGACCGAGGGGGGCACGAGGCAGGGGGCACGCCCUGGGCCCUUGUGGCCACCCCGUAAGGCGCUUGGUGCCCUUCUUUCGCCUCAAGAAAGCUAAUAUCCGGAUAAAAUCGUGUCCAAAAUUCAGCCCAAUCGGAGUUACGGAUCUCUGGGAAUUUAAGAAACGGUGAAAGGGCAGAAUCUGAAACACAGAAACAGAGAGACAGAGAGACAGAUCCAAUCUCGGAGGGGCUCUCGCCCCUCCGCCGCCAUGGAGGCCAUGGACCAGAGGGAAACCCUUCUUCCAUCUAGGGGGAGGUCAAGGAAGAAAAAGAAUAAGGGGGGCUCUCUCCCCCUCCCUCCCGAUGGCGCUGGAACGCCGCCGGGGCCAUCAUCAUUACCGCAAUCUACACCAAUAACUUCACCGUCAUCAUCACCAACUCUUCCCCCCUCUAUGCAUCGGUGUAAUCCCUCUUUUACUCAUUGUAAUCUUUACUUAAACAUGGUGCUCAACGCUAUAUAUUAUUUCCCAAUGAUGUAUGGCUAUCCUAUGAUGUUUGAGUAGAUUGUCCUAUGGGUUAAUUGAUGAUCGUGAUUGGUUUGACUUGCAUGUUUCAUUAUUAGUGAUGUCCUAUGGUGCUCUCCGUGUCGCACAAGCAUGAGGGAUCCCCGCUGUAGCGUUUGCAAUAUGUUCAUGAUUUGCUUAUGAUGGGUGGCGUGAGUGAUAGAAGCACAGACCUGAGUAAGUAGGUUGUUUGUGUAUGGGAGUAAAGAGGACUUGAUGCCUUAUAAUGCUAUGGUUGGGUUUUACCUUAAUGAUCUUUAGUAGUUGCAGAUGCUUGCUAGAGUUCCAAUCAUAAGUGCAUAUGAUCCAAGAAGAGAAAGUAUGUUAACUUAUGCUUCUCCCUCAAAUAAAAUUGUAAUAAUGAUUACCGGUUUAGUUAUCGAUUGCCUAGGGACAAAUAACUUUUUUAUAUGACAACAAGCUCUUUAAUAAACCUAACUUAGUUGUGUCUUUAUCUAAACAACCCCUACUUUUUAUUUACGCGCUCUUUAGUAUCUUUCAAAACUAUCCAACAACACCUACAAAGUACUUCGAGUUUCAUACUUGUUCUAGGUAAAGCGAACGUCAAGCGUGCGUAGAGUUGUAUCGAUGGUCGAUAGAACUUGAGGGAAUAUUUAUUCUACCUCUAGCUCCUCAUUGGGUUCGACACUCUUACUUAUCGAAAAAGGCUACAAUUGAUCCCCUAUACUUGUGGGUUAUUAGGGUGCGGCUGGAGGGGGAAGGGGGCGGAUAGAAAAAGGAACCCCUGUACCACCGACGGUCGUGUGAUAGCCUGGCUUAUUAGGGAUGAUAGACUACUCAUAUUUUCGGGAGCCCAUUCGAACAGAACUUCAAAGUUAAGCGUGCUCAGCUUGAAGUAGUUUCAGGAUGGAUGACCGACUGGGAAGUUACUUUCGGGUGCGCACGAAUGAGGACAAAGUGCACAGAAUAGACUAGUAUUGAUCUGUAGGGCCUGUCUAGAUCCCGCUAGGAGUAACGACCACCGACGAGUGUGUUCAGGGCAUUACAAAUUGAUAUCAGAGCCGAUCCUCGCGGUUACACGGAUGUUUACAGACAGAUGCGCGGUCAUGUUAUGCAUGACGCUUGUGACCCAUCGGAGCACAUGGCAUGGCACAUGUGCCGGACAGGAAGCACAAACAUUUGUGUCAAGAGAGAACGUUUAUGUGGCCUGACGAGGACGUCGGUUUUUUUUUUGAGUGGGGGUGUAUACGUUUAUGUCAAGAGAGAACGUUUAUGUGGCCCGACGAGGACGCCGGUUUCUCUGAGUGGGGGUGUAUGUGAUAGCAUGACUUAUUAGGGAUGAUAGACUACUCAUAUCAAUAAUGAAUUCUUUCUUUUCUGAGAGUUCAUUUGGACAUAACUUUAAAGUUAAGCGUGUUCAGUUUGGAGUAGUUUCGAGAUGAGCGAUCGACCGGGAAGUUACUCUUAGGUGCGCACGAGUGAGGACAAAGUACACAGAAAAUACUAAUAUUGAUUUGUGAACCAGUCUAGAUCCCGCUAGAAGUAACGACUACCGACAGAUAUGUCCGAGGCGUUACAGGGCGAGCAAAGGCAAAGGAAAGACAAACACACACGGCCCGCCCUUUCGUGCGCUGUCCAUUACGCUGCAAAAACGACCCAAGUUUGAGUCGGGAGUGAGUCAAAGGUGGACAAAAAUGCACAUCCCUGCGUUGGAUAGUCACGACCCAAGUUUGAGUCGAAAAUGAGUCAAAAGUGAACAAAAAUGCACAUUCCUGCGUUGGAUAGUCUGGUAUGUCAUUUUACCUUAAACGGACGCCUCCAAACAAAUUGGGGUCACGUGCUGGAGUUGGCCUAAGGACAGCCUCCGCCACCUAAGGACAGCCUUCGCCGAUGCGGCGGAGAGGCUUGCCAUGCAUCUCGACGGAUGCACCAGCCUACGCCCUCCGGCGAUGGGGGCGAGGGAAGGAGCGGCGACCGCGAUUAGUUUUUUUCCCUCGUUAACCUUUUUUGGUAAUUGUUCAGUUAACUUUUUUUUUUGAGAAACCCAAGAAAUUGUUCAGUUAACUGGGCGGGAAGGAAAUAGCUGACGCCCGGACCAGAUCGUCCUCGGCUGUCACCUAGCCCACUAAUGAACUAGUACUACGUGGAUUGGACUGUGAAUGAAGAUGCCAUCGCUGGCCUGAAGCCCAUCUAAAUGAGCCUGGUAUAGAACAAAUCGCCCACAAACACGAUCUUAAAAUGGAAGGUACCCUAAAAAAAUCUGAAACUUCCCACCAAACCGCCGACGCCAAUCUGAACCUAAGGCUCGUAGCAUAAGUUCAUUUCUGGUCAGCAAGCUGCAAAACCUUGUUUAGAAACGUGACGGAUUAUUUCAUCUUCGUUGAGUUUCAUCAUCGAGAAGUGCCUUCAUAAUAUACUCCCUUCAUGGCCGGCUUCAUCUUAGGCAGCGCUUUCUCGACGGGGUGGGCCAUUCUUGGGCUUUGGUAACGCUUUCAAGGACGUGUUGUAGUGUGUUAAUUCUUUUUCUUUGAAUGUGUCUUCUUUAGACUGGCCAUAUUGUACUUGGAACGGUAGUAAAGUAAUUUCAUGAACAAUUGUAAGUAAUUGGUACUCUCUCGACUACAUAACGAGUACAUAGGAAUGAGCGUGCGUACAUAGGAAUGAAUCUGUGAUUAAAAAAAUACUACUAUACAUCGUUUAUUGAAUAGAAGUUAGUGUGGAGUUUUCGCAGACACGGCCACUAUUUAUUUAUCAACUCAUAUAUCCGGGGAUCAUUGGCUACAGAACGUACAUACAUGCCAAAAUUUUGCAGCCAGGGUACAUGGAUUACGAUCGAGCUACAUAUAUAGAGGGGCUACGGCGGCUACAAUCCAGGGACCAAAAUUUUGUAGCCAGCCGUACGUACGCCAUGUCCGUGCGAGCACGAAGACAUGCAUGCAUCAACGCUACUACGUAAGCUGCAUCCUUCAACCUAGCCUACUACCACGUACACCCAUAGCACUACGUACUAACUUACAGUACAUCCACACGUACGAUAUAUAUAUAUAUAUAGGAGGGCCGGCCUGUGAGGCCGUACAUCGUCUACCUCGCUCGAUCAU